UUCCAUUGUAAAUAAAUAUUAUCAAUUAUUUUUGUCACCUCAUAUUCUUUGGGUAGCAUUUUGAGUUUUAACUAACCAACAUAUAUAAGAACCAACUCUUCAUAAUGUUACAUUCUAAACUAAUUUGUACAACAAUUACAAUUCCUACCUACCAAGAUUGUAUUAGAAAUUUGAAAAGAUGAUGACAUCAAAAAUUGCCUCGUUCUUUGCAAUGAACAAAUGAUAGAAGCCAACUUCAAAGAAUAGGUUAGUUACAACAUUAAAGAUCCUCCAAGUUGAUUACAUUGUCAUUACACCAAACCUAACCUACACAUUGUUCUAUAGGUCUCAUAACCUGUUACCCUCAAGCCAUCUGAUACUAACAACUUUAAGCCUGCACUCAUUCUUUUAAAACCGAAACAAACACACCCAUAGUCUCUUUGAUAGUUAUUUAUUUAUUUAUUUAUUUUCGGAUUUUAGAAAGAAAAAUCACUUUUAAACAAAAAAAACUCACUUAAAAAAGGUAAAAAAUUGUUCAAUGAAAAGUUUUCAUUGCCAUCAUUUUAGAUUACACAAUUACAACUUCAAGGUUGAUGUAAUUAAAGAAAAAAAAACAAUUAUUUGAUGCAUGCACAAAAACUAAUUGAUUACUUGUGGAAUAUUCCAAAAUAAGAAAUAUUAUACAAUUAUUUUGCUAGCGCAAUAACUCAUUAAUAUAAAUAUUAAUUACCCAAAUUUACACAAUAGCCAUUACGACACCUAACAUUACUCUUUCGGAAUUGUGGACGUGGACAAUCUUUAUCAGUAACACAAGGAGGAGAAUUAUUGAAAUAAACCUGAUCAUAUAUUGUCAGGACAAGAAGUAUGGAAAGAUAUAAAAUUGGAACAUAAACAAACUUUAGAAUUUUCGCCAUGUUUUUUCCCCUCUUCAUAUAAAUAAUAGGAUAUGAUUUGAUCUAUUUAUAAUGUAUAAAGUCCAUGGUCUCGUUCUUUAAAAAAAAAAUCCAUGGUCUUGUAAUAAAUAAUAAAUUAGUUUAAAAAUUUAGUUUUAAAAGCCAUUCGUAAAAUUAGAAUCAUUAUUAUCACUAUAUUUGUGUUAUAUAUUUUCCAUUUGCACUUAGAUAGGAGUUAAUAUCACAUAAUUCUAAUAAUUUAAUAUUACUUAGCUAACUUAUCAUUAUUUUUUUAACCUUUCGUGAUAGUAAAGAGUAAAAUUAUCUUUUGAGUAAAUAGACAAUUAUCCUCUGAAAUUAUAAAUUUCGUCAAUUACUUUUUAAGUUUAUUUAAUAAAUAAUGUAUGUGGUCUAUAUUAUAAACCAUUAUUAUUCGAAGAAUCCUUAUCACUGUCUAACCUAUUAAACAAACUAUUUUGCUUUUAUUCAAACUAUUAUUCGCAAUGAGCACACAAUUCAAAAGUUCAACCCCUUAAACCCCAUUAAUUGCUUUUUUUAGUUUAAAUAGAUAUAGCGAAUUGCUUAGUUGACGAUAUUCAUGUGGAGACAAUAACUUACUACUUUAUUACUUGUUAAGUUUUUUGCACUUUCAAAUCAUGUCAUCAUUAUCAUUAAAACAUAAUACAAAGAUAUUGUUCUUUUAAUCUGUGUGGUUCUAACAAACCUUACAAUUGUCAAAAAACAAUUAUUUCACUCACCCUUUACUAUCACGAAAGGUUAAAAAAUUAAUGAUAAGUUAGUUAGUAAUAUUCAAUUAUUAUGAUUAUCAAGUUAUGAUAUUAACUCAUAUCUAAUUGUAUUUAUUGCAAAAGUUAAACAGAAAUAAGCUCAUAUGCAUAUCCUAUAUUUAGAAUUUCUGAACAAGAAAUAAUGGGGUUACAAGACCAUGGACUCGUAUACAUAUAUUCCUAUGUUAUGGUCUCAUAUACCAUAUACAUAGGUUAUCAAGUAUAUGUAUAUGAGACCAUAACAUAGGAUAACAUAGGUUAAAAAAUUAAUGAUAAGUUAGUUAGUAAUAUUCAAUUAUUAUGAUUAUCAAGUUAUGAUAUUAACUCCUAUAUGCGGAGGGACAAAUACAACACACUUGUAAUGAUUCUAAUUUUAUGAACGAUUUUUAAAAUUUCGUAAAUUCUUAAACUAAUUAAUUAUUUAUUAUGAGACCAUGAACUUUAUACACUAUAAAUAGGUCAAGUCAUAUUCUAUCAUUUAUAUGUAGAGAGGAAAAAACAUGGCUAAAACUUUAAAGUUUGUUUAUGUAGUGAUUCUAUUUAUUUCCAUAUUUCUUGUCCUAACUGUAUAUGAUUCUAAAUAUUUCCAAAUAGCAUCUCCUUGUGUUAAUGAUAAAGAUUGUCCACGAUUCAAAAAUAAUAAUGUUAGGUGUCGUAAAGGCUUUUGUGUAAAUUUGUGUAAUUAAGAUCGACACUAAUGAGUUAUUGCACUAGCAAAAUAAUUGUACGUUAUUCCUUCCUUAUGUUGGAAUAUUCCACAAGUCAUCAAUUUUAUUUUAUUUUCCUUUAUUUAUAGGGUCUCCUUAUCUCGUAUAUUUUUAGUUAUUACCAUGGCAAGCAAUCAAUACAUAUCUCGUGUUUUUUUUAACCCUACCUACCACCUAUAAGAAUCAUUUUAAUCAUUAAGUCGGUUGUAAUUUUCAUCUUACUUUUUUUCAAAAAAAAAAAAGAAAAGAUAUCCAAUUAUUAAACUGGUAGAGUACGUUAAAACAACACAAAUUCAACAUUGCUAAAACUGAAAUAGAAGAAUAUGUGAACUUUUAAUACGAGUGCGUUGUAUUUGUCCCUCCGCGUAACAAUGGUGUUUUAUUAUGAUUUGAUAUUAUUACCCCAUGAUUUUCAAAUCAUACUUUUAAUAUUCUUCUAUUUACCCCAUGAUUUUCAAAUCUUCAAAUCAUACUUUUAAUAUUCUUCUAUUUACCCCAUGAUUUUCAAAUCAUACUUUUAAUACAAACAUAUUUGAAAAUCAUGAGGUAAAUAGAAGAAUAUUAAAACCCCAUAUUUUAUUGAAAAUCAAGGGAUAAACUGGAAUAGAAGAAUAUUAUAUUUAUCAAAUCAUAUUUUAUUUAUCACAUAUCAAUCAUGGGGUUUUAAUCAACACAAAUUAUUAUGAUUUAGUCUUUGUGUAUGUGAUAAAUAAAAUAUGAUUUGAUAUUGUUAUUGUGUAUAACGAUGAUGCUAAAAAAUUCAAGAAAGAGUGAGUUUUAAUCGCGUUUACUCUUUUAAAAUUAAAAUCAUUUUUGUCUAAAUUAGAAAACAAUACUCUGUUCAUAAUACAAUUUGAAAGAUAUUAAACAUAAAACAAUAUCUUAAGUUUUGUUUAGUUUUUUUUUUUUUAAAAAAGGACUUUUGUUAAGUUAUUUAUCAAAAAAAAAAAAAAAAUCUUCAAAUUAAUAAUACACAUAUGAAAGAUAUUUGAAUGUAAUACACAAAAUAUAGGUAAAUAUAAAAAGAGCAAACGUAUUAUGUUCUUGAUAUACCACAAACUUAGAAUUUUGUAUGUGAUGAUGAUAUAAUAAAAAAAAUUAAGGCAUUACUAGAAUGGAACUAAAAUUGUAAACACACUCUAUUUGUUUAGAUACAAGUCUAGAGAAAAUUAGCUUAAAACAUCUAUUCCUAGGUUUUGUUGUUUUUUCACGAUAUAUCAAAAUUUAGAAAUAGUUAAAAGAAUAAGAACCAUUGCAAUGCUCCAAAAUCAAAACACAAGUGCCCAAAAGGAAAGCCAUUUGAUAAAGUAAAAUUGUAGUAUUAAAGUAAGUAUAUUUAUUGUUUAUCGUACCAACAAUUGCAGUUUUAAUUAAAAAAAAAAAAAGAGGGUUGUUUGUUGAUGCCCUGAUCUAGGAAGUAAAUGGAAAACAUGAACAAAGAGAUAAUAUAUAUGGUUCGAAAUUGCACAUAUCAUCACCAUCAUCAUCAUCACCAUCAUCAUCAUCAUCAUCAUCAUCAUCAUUAAUGGCUCUGUUAGGGUUUUCACUUCUUCUUAAACCUUUGUUUCUUCCCACAUUUGUCGUUGCUUCCUCGUUAGUUCACCAACUUUGAACAUCCUUGCUCUUGUGACAUUAGGUUCGAUAAACUUGAAAACUUCGCAACCGCGUCAAUGCCCCUGCAGGCAUUGCAAAUGUUGAUGCAUAUACUUUUAUACCUUUGAAAUUUUUGUUAGGAGGGCAACGUUCGCUACUGAGAGAUAGGGAAAGGAUUAUGUAGGGGUGGUCGAUGCUAUGGUGUUUGAUUAGCAAGCUGAGCUCGUAGUUGUCAAGGGCCCCCAAGCGAUAACUCAAGUGACUCAACCAAAAUCGUUUGCUUAGGUUUUGGGUGUUUCAAGUUUGCAUUGCCUGCAGGGGUGGUCGAUGCUAUGGUGUUUGAUUAGCAAGCUAAGCUUGCAGUUGUUGGACGGUUCUCGACACUUACAUGCUUGUUUGGUUAUGACAAAGGGGAGAAACCAUACACCGCGGAGGAUUCCCAGGGACGUGGAUUCUAUGAAUAUCAGUUUGCAAAAAUCGAGGACCUACAUAUGGUUUGGGUUCAGGGUACAUUAAGCUUGAAGUCAGGAGUCUUUCGCCUCUCAUAAUGGACGAAGGAUUUCAAUCCGUAUACUCAGCACCAAACACAUGCUCAAAUUUAGAGGGAGAAAACUUUUAUGGAAAUUGUGUUGACUUUCUCCCUCAAUUGUUCUAAUACUCCUCUAUUUUGGAUUAAACUAAAAGAAAAUGAUUGAAAAAUAUGUUAAGAAUAACCUAAGGUGAAUCGUCAUCAGACAUCAAUGAGAGAAAAAUAAUUGUUCAAAUACUCCUCUAUUUUGGAUUAAACUAAAAUAAAAUAACUGAAAAAUAUGUUAAAAAUAACAUAAGGUGACUUGUCAUUAGACAUCGAUGAGUGGGGUUGAAUUGUGUUGGCUUUUUCUGAUUCAGUUAACAGUCAUAACUCAUUUCAAAAUUGUAUAUCAUUCAGUUCUUUGCAAAUGCAUUACGUAUGUGCUUUAUGGUCCCCCAAACAUGCCUCACAGGAAGAACUUGUGACAAUGGGUUUCUCUACCUUCAUUGCCAUAUGAAUUUAUUUUGCAUCUGCUGUGCUUUGCAGGAUGUAUCUAUGAACUUAUAUUUACAUUGGUUGCAUGCAUUUUCGUGUUUUGAUAUUCUCUUGCUUAAUAGAUACAUCAUUUUCUUUUCACUAGGUAAGUUUGUGCUUUGGUGUUUUGGCAUUUUUUUUAAGGCUGUAAUAAUGAGACAGCCAAAUCAUACUUGCUUUUUCAAGUUUUCUUAUAUUCUUCAAACUUAGAAUAAUUUGCCAAGCACAAGCACAACUACAUUGAAGACUCAAAACAUGAUUAUAAGAGGAUAUCAACGGAAGAUGUUUUGCCUAAUAACAUGUAGAUCUUAUUAGCUAUUUGCAUUGAACAAUUUUCUCAAAAUAAACCCACCACAAUUGAUCUUUGACACUCUUUGAAAUACGUGCAACCAACAAAAACCUCUACAGAAGAAAAGUGAGAAAUUGUACAGUUGUUAGAUUAAUCCCUUAAAUUGUAGGGAUUCAUUGUGGGUUCCGGUUUGCUCCAUUUAUUUACUCUCAAUUUAGUCUAAUUAUGAGAGAAUUGGGCACAAAUGAAAGAUUAGUGAAACCUGACUUAUUAAAAUGGGGCUCAUUAAUCUUUCACUUGUUUAUCUCUCUAAUAAAUGGAAGGUAGAUAAAUGAAUCAAACCCAGACCCGGUCUCUAAAGUUAAGAAAUUGACUAUAAUGUUCCUUUGUAGAUAAAUAUUAUCAAUUAUUUUUGUCACCUCAUAUUCUUUGGGUAACAUUUUGAGUUCUAACUAACCAACAUAAGAACCAACUCUUCAUAAUGUUACAUUCUAAACUAAUUUGUACAACAAUUACAAUUCCUACCUUCCAAGAUUGUAUUAGAAAUUUGAAAAGAUGAUGACAUCAAAAUUUGCCUAGUUCUUUGCAAUGAACAAAUGAUAGAAGCCAUGACUUCAAAGAAUAGGUUAGCUACAACAUCAAAGAUCAUCCAAGUUGAUUACAUUGUCAUUACACCAUUGAAUAUCAGGUUUUCUUUCACUAUGAAUCUCUGUAUCAUUGAGAGAACACUCCAAGGUUUUCUCUAAAGACUCAGCAAGAUCUACCUCCCACAAACCUAGCCUACACAUUGUUCUAUAGGUCUCAUAACCUGUUACCCUCAAGCCAUCUGAUGCUAACUCCUUUAAGCCUGCACUAAUUCUUUUAAACCCGAAACAAACACACCUUAGUCUCUUUGAUAGUUUUUUUAUUUUUAUUACGGAUUUUAGAAAGAAAAAUCAAUUUUAAACAAAAAAAAACUCACUUAAAAAAAGGGAAAAAAUUGUUCAAUGAAAAGUUUUCAUUGCCAUCAUUUUAGAUUACACAAUUACAACUUCAAGGUUGAUGUAAUUAAAGAAAAAAACUACAAUUAUUUGAUGCAUGCACAAAAACUAAUUGAUUACUUGUGGAAUAUUCCAAAAUAAGGAAUAUUAUACAAUUAUUUUGCUAGCACAAUAACUCAUUAAUAUAAAUAUUAACUAUACAAAUUUACACAAUAGCCUUGACGACACCUAAUAUUACUCUUUGGGGAUUUUGGACUUGGACAAUCUUUAUCACUAACACAAGGAGGAUUAUAAUUGAAAUAAACCUGAUCAUAUAUUGUCAGGACAAGAAGUAUGGAAAGAUAUAAAAUUGGAACAUAAACAAACUUUAGAAUUUUGGCCAUGUUUUUUCCCUCUUCAUAUAAAUGAUAGGAUAUGAUUUGAUCUAUUUAUAAUGUAUAAAGUCCAUGGUCUCGUUCUUUUAAAAAAAAAAAAUCCUUGGUCUUGUAACAAAUAAUAAAUUAGUUUAAAAAUUUAUCAAGUUUUAAAAGCCAUUCGUAAAAUUAGAAUCAUUAUUAUCACUAUAUUUGUGUUAUGUAUUUGCCCUUUGCACUUAGAUAGGAGUUAAUAUCACAUAAUUCUAAUAAUUUAAUAUUACUUAGCUAACUUAUCAUUGUUUGUUUAACCUUUCGUGAUAGUAAAGGAUAAAAUUAUCUUUUGAGUAAAUAGACAAUUAUCCUCUGAAAUUAUAUAUUUUGUCAAUUACUUUUUAAAUUUAUUUAAUAAAUAAUGUAUGUGAUCUAUAUUAUAAACCAUUAUUAUUCGAAGAAUCCUUAUCGCCAUCUAACCUAUUAAACAAACUAUUCUGCUUUUAUUCAAACUAUUAUUCGCAAUGAGCACACAAUUCAAAAGUUCAACCCCUUAAACCCCAUUAAUUGCUUUUUUUAGUUUAAAUAGAUAUAGUGAAUUGCUUAUUUGAUGGCAUUCACGUGGAGAGGAUAACUUACUAUUUUGUUCAUUGUUAGAUUUGAUGCACUUUUCAAAUUUAUCAUCAUUUUUUUUUUAACAAUUCAAAUUUAUCAUCAUUAUCUUUAAAACAUGAUAGAAAGAUAUUGUUCUUUUAAUCUGUGUGGUUCUAGCAAACCUUAGUACCUUGCAAUUGUCCAAAAAAAUUAAUUUCACCCUUUAUUAUCACGGAAGGUUAAAAAAUCAAUGUUAAGUUAGUUAGUAAUGUUCAAUUAACCAAAGGUUAAAAUAUUAAUAAUAAGUUAGUUAGUAAUAUUCAAUUAUUAUGAUUAUCAAGUUAUGAUAUUAACUCCUAUAUGCGGAGGGACAAAUACAACACACUCAUAAUGAUUCUAAUUUUAUGAACGAUUUUUAAAAUUUCAUAAAUUCUUAAAUUAAUUAAUUAUUUAUUAUGAGACAAUGAACUUGAUACACUAUAAAUAGGUCAAGUCAUAUUCUAUCAUUUAUAUAUGCAGAGAGGAAAAAAUAUGGCUAAAACUUUAAAGUUUGUUUAUGUAGUGAUUCUAUUUAUUUCCAUAUUUCUUGUCCUAACAGUAUAUGAUUCUAAAUAUUUCCAAAUAGCAUCUCCUUGUGUUAAUGACAAAGAUUGUCCACAAUUCAAAAAUAAUAAUGUUAGGUGUCGUAGAGGCUUUUGUGUAAACAGUGGCGGAGCCACACAAAAAUGUUUGGGAUGUCCGUCAUUAAAAUAAAGUCGAUCAUUUUUAUUUUUUUAGACAAUCAAUAUUAUUACCUCAAGCCCGUGUAAGACGCACCAAGCAGGGUAAAAAGAAGAACAAAUACAAGGUGUCGAAUAUAUGCAAAACACACCAAAACCCAAAAGAGUUAUAGCCAACAAAAAACCUACUGCUAGCCCACUUAAAACACACAUAGACCCCAAAAAAACAGCAAUAGAACAUAGGCUAAAACAGCUGAGAAAAGGAAGAAAAAAAAGAUGGCGCCCCUGAUGAAAAAACCAACCCAAACAGACAGAAACCACACCAGCCAGGUGCGGCCAACACAACCACACCAGAACCCACCAGAAUGCUGGCAGAAAACCCCAAAACCACAACCCUAUAACAGAGAAAACAGCCAGCACAACCACACCACACCCACACCCGAACCCACCAGUUUAAAGUGACACUUUACGCUUCCUCUUGUAAAAUGAAUAGAUUUUUUUACUAUUCAUCUUGACUUUUCUGUUGCAAGGAAACAAAUUUAUCAAAAUAAUGUAAGAAUAGUGUUAAGACUCAUAAUGAAACAAAUCUACAACUGAUUUUCCCAAUUGAUUUACCUAAGAUAUUAAAAGAGAGGACAUUUGAGGCAAAUUAUUUGAUUUACCUAAGCAGUAUUAUUAACAAAAAUCAAAAAUAAAAAAUUCCCUUUUGCUUUGAUUAGGGUUAUGGGAAAAUUGAAAUUGAAAACCAAAUUAAAAAUCAAAUUCAGAGAUUAGAUACACUUACAGUUUUUGAGUUUGUAGAGAGAUUGAGACCAAUGAAGAGAAGAAUCAGAGAUUGAUGCAGAGAGAAGAGAUGGAGGCCUUGAGUUCGCCGGAGAGUUCGUUGGUCACGGGAUUGCCGGUGCGUGAGGGUGGUGGGUGAGGUUGCGCACGUGAAGGAGAAGAGAAAAUAUGGCUUCUUCAUUUCUUUCCCGUUCUGGAGAAAUAUUGGAAUUAGAGUGGGAUAGUGGUUUGAGUGGCAUGGUAGUAAUAUUAAAAUUAAUUCAGGGGCAUUAUAGUAUUUUCACAAAAUAAAUGGGUGCCCAUACCCAGUCCACACAUGGCUCCGCCACUGUGUGUAAAGUUGUGUAAUUAAGAUCGACACUAAUGAGUUAUUGCACUAGCAAAAUAAUUGUACAUUAUUCCUUCCUUAUGUUGGAAUAUUCCACAAGUCAUCAAUUUUAUUUUAUUUUCCUUUAUUUAUAGGGUCUCCUUAUCUCGUAUAUUUUUAGUUAUUACCAUGGCAAGCAAUCAAUACAUAUCUCGUUUUUUUUAACCCUACCUACCACCUAUAAGAAUCAUUUUAAUCGUUAAAACGGUUGUAAUUUUCAUCUUACUUUUUUUCAAAAAAAAAAAGAAAGAUAUCCAAUUAUUAAAUUGGUAGAGUACGUUAAAACAACACAAAUUCAAAAUUGUUAAAACUGAAAUAGAAGAAUAUGUGAACUUUUAAUACGAGUGUGUUGUAUUUGUCCCUCCGCAUAACGAUGGUGUUUUAUUAUGAUUUGAUGUUACCCCAUGAUUUUCAAAUCAUACUUUUAAUAUUCUUCUAUUUACCCAAUGAUUUUCAAAUCAUACUUUUAAUACAAAGAUAUUUGAAAAUCAUGGGGUAAAUAGAAGAAUAUUAAAACCCCAUAUUUUAUUGAAAAUCAUGGGAUAAAUUGAAAUAGAAAAAUAUUUUAUUUAUCAAAUCAUAUUUUAUUUAUCACAUAUCAAUCAUGGGGUUUUAAUCAACACAAAUUAUUAUGAUUUAGUCUUUGUGUAUGUGAUAAAUAAAAUAUGAUUUGAUAUUGUUAUUGUGUAUAAGGAUGGUGCUAAAAAAAUUCAAGAAAGAGUAAGUUUUAAUCGUGUUUAUUCUUUUAAAAUUAAAAUUAUUUUUGUCUCAAAUAGAAAACAAUACUAUGUUCAUAAUACAAUUUGAAAGAUAUUAAACAUCAAACAAUAUCUUAAGUUUUGUUAAGUUUUUUUUUUAAAAAAAAGGACUUUUGUUAAGUUAUUUAUCAAAAAAAUAAAUCUUCAAAUUAAACAUAUGAAAGAUAGUUGAAUAUAAUACACAAAAUAUAGGUAAAUAUAAAAAGAGCAAACGUAUUAUGUUCAUGAUAUAUAUACCACAAAUUUAGGAUUUUGUAUGUGAUGAUGAUAUAAUAAAAAAAAAUUAAGGCAUUACUAGAAUGGAACUAAAAUUAUAAACACACUCUAUUUGUUGAGAUACAAGUCUACAGAAAAUUAGCUUAAAACAUCUAUUCUUAGAUUUUGUUGUUUUUUUUACGAUAUAACAAAAUUUAGAAAUAGUUAAAAGAAUAAGAACCAUUGCAAUGCUCCAAUGUCAAAACACAAGUGCCCAAAAGGAAAGUCAUUUGAUAAAUUAAAAUUUUAGUAUUAAAGUAAGUAUAUUUAUUGUUUAUCGUACCAACAAUUGCAGUUUUAAGUAAAAAAAAAAAGAGGAUUGUUUGUUGAUUCCCUGCUCUAGGAAGUAAAUGGAAAACAUGAACAAAGAGAUAAUAUAUAUGGUUUGAAAUUGCACAUAUCAUCACCAUCAUCAUCAUCACCAUCAUCAUCAUCAUCAUCAUCAUCAUUAAUGGCUCUGUUAGGGUUUUCGCUCUGUCUUAAACCUUUGUUUCUUCCCACAUUUGUCGUUGCUUCCUCGCUAGUUCACCAACUUUGAACAUCCUUGCUCUUGUGACAUUAGGUUCGAUAAACUUGAAAGCUUCACAACCACGUCAAUGCCCCUGCAGGCAUUGCAAAUGUUGAUGCAUAUACUUUUAUACCUUUGAAAUUUUUGUUAGGAGGGCUACGUUCGCUACUGAGAGAUAGGGAAAGGUUUAUGUAGGGGUGGUCGAUGCUAUGGUGUUUGAUUAGCAAGCUGAGCUCGCAGUUGUCAAGGGCCCCCAAGCAAUAACUCAAGUGACUCAACCAAAAUCGUUUGCUCAGGUUUUGGGUGUUUCAAGUUUGCAUUGCCUGCAGGGGUGGUCGAUGCUAUGGUGUUUGAUUAGCAAGCUGAGCUCGUAGUUGUUGGACGGUUCUCGACACUUACAUGCUCGUUUGGUUAUGACAAAGGGGAGAAACCAUACACCGCAGAGGAUUCCCAGGGACGUGGAUUCUAUGAAUUUCAGUUUGCAAAAAUCGAGGACCUACAUAUGGUUUGGGUUCAGGGUACAUUAAACUUGAAGUCAGGAGUCUUUCGCCUCUCAUAAUGGACGAAGGAUUUCAAUCCGUAUACUCAGCACCAAACACAUGCUCAAAUUUAGAGGGAGAAAACUUUUAUGGAAAUUGUGUUGACUUUCUCCCUCAAUUGUUCUAAUAGUCCUCUAUUUUGGAUUAAACUAAAAGAAAAUGAUUGAAAAAUAUGUUAAGAAUAACCUAAGGUGAACCGUCAUCAGGCGUCGAUGAGAGAAAAAUAAUUGUUCUAAUACUCCUCUAUUUUGGAUUAAACUAAAAUAAAAUAACUGAAAAAUAUGUUAAAAAUAACAUAAGGUGACUUGUCAUUAGACAUUGAUGAGUGGGGUUGAAUUGUGUUGGCUUUUUCUGAUUCAGUUAACAGUCAUAACUCAUUUCAAAAUUUUAUAUGAUUCAGUUCUUUGCAAUUGCAUUACGUAUGUGCUUUAUGGUCCCAAACAUGCCUCACAGGAAGAACUUGUGACAAUGGGUUUCUCUAACUUCAUUUCCAUAUGAAUUUAUUUUGCAUCUGCUGUGCUUUAUAGGAUGUAUCUAUGAACUUAUAUUUACAUUGGUUGCAUGCAUUUUCGUGUUUUGAUAUUCUCUUGCUUAACAGAUAUAGCAUUUUCUUUUCACUAGGUAAGUUUGUGCUUUGGUGUUUUGGCAUUUUUUUAAGGCUGUAAUAAUGAGACAGCCAAAUCACUAGGGAGAAUUGCUCUAUGGAUCCCUUAGUUUUGCUCAAAAGUCACUCAAUUUAUUAUGAAGUACGUUUUCAAGAUAUUGGCAUUAGCCUUUAUUUAGAGUGAAACUUCAUUUUCGCUCUUGAGAUUGUACAGUUGUUAGAUUAAUCCCUUAAAUUGUAGGGAUUCAUUGUGGGUUCCGGUUUGCUCCAUUUAUUUACUCUCAAUUUAGUCUAUUUAUGAGAGAAUUUGGCACAAAUGAUAGAUUAGUGAAACCCGUCAGUGGAAUCCACUUAUUAAAAUGGGGCUCAUUAAUCUUUCACUUGUUUAUCUCUCUAAUAAAUGGAAGGUAGAUAAAUGAAUCAAACCCAGACCCGUCUCUAAAAUUAAGAAAUUGACUAUAAUGUUCCUUUGUAAAUAAAUAUUAUCAAUUAUUUUUGUCACAUCAUAUUCUUUGGGUAACAUUUCGAGUUCUAACUAACCAACAUAAGAACCAACUCUUCAUAAUGUUACAUUCUAAACUAAUUUGUAGAACAAUUACAAUUCCUACCUUCCAAGAUUGCAUUAGAAAUUUGAUAAGAUGAUGACAUCAAAAAUUGCCUGGUUCUUUGCAAUGAACAAAUGAUUGAAGCCAACUUCAAAGAAUAGAUUAGUUACAACAUUAAAAAUCAUCCAAGUUGAUUACAUUGUCAUUACACCAUUGAAUAUCAGGUUUUCUUUCACUAUGAAUCUCUGUAUCAUUGAAAGAACACUCCAAGGCUUUCUCUAAAGACUCAGCAAGAUCUAUCUCCCACAAACCUAGCCUACACAUUGUUCUAUAGGUCUCAUAACCUGCUACCCUCAAGCCAUCUGAUACUAACUCCUUUAAGCCUGCACUAAUUCUUUUAAAACCGAAACAAACAAACCGUUAGUCUCUUUGAUAGUUUUAUUUUUUUAUUUUUUAUUUUUACGGAUUUUAGAACGAAAAAUCACUUUUAAACAAAAAAAAACUCACUUAAAAAAGGUAAAAUAUUGUUCAAUGAAAAGUUUUCAUUGCCAUCAUUUUAGAUUACACAAUUACAACUUCAAGGUUGAUGUAAUUAAAGAAAAAAAAUACAAUUAUUUGAUGCAUGCACAAAAACUAAUUGAUUACUUGUGGAAUAUUCCAAAAUAAGGAAUAUUAUACAAUUAUUUUGCUAGCGCAAUAACUCAUCAUUAAUAUAAAUAUUAACCAUCCAAAUUUACACAAUAGCCUUUACGACACCUAACAUUACUCUUUUGGAAUUUUGGACGUGGACAAUCUUUAUCACUAACACAAGGACGAGGAUCAUUGAAAUAAGCCUGAUCAUAUAUUGUCAGGACAAGAAGUAUGGAAAAAUAUAAAAUUGGAACAUAAACAAACUUUAGAAUUUUUGCCAUGUUUUUCCCCUCUUCAUAUAAAUGAUAAGAUAUGAUUUGAUCUAUUUAUAAUGUAUAAAGUCCAUGGUCUCAUUCUUUUAAAAAAAAAAUCCAUGGUCUUGUAAUAAAUAAUAAAUUAGUUCAAAAAUUUAUCAAGUUUUAAAAGCCAUUCGUAAAAUUAGAAUCAUUAUUAUCACUAUAUUUGUGUUAUGUAUUUGCCCUUUGCACUUAGAUAGGAGUUAAUAUCACACAAUUCUAAUAAUUUAAUAUUACUUAGCUAACUUAUCAUUGUUUUUUCAACCUUUAGUGAUAGUAAAGGGUAAAAUUAUCUUUUGAGUAAAUAGACAAUUAUCCUCUGAAAUUAUAAGUUUCGUCAAUUACGUUUUAAGUUUAUUUAAUAAAUAAUGUAUGUGGUCUAUAUUAUAAACCACAUACAUCAAUUAUUCGGUGAAUCAAAAAUGUCAAUUUGAAUACUUAAUAGGAACAAUGUUUUAAUGUGGAGCUCUAAUCUUUGAACAAUGUAAUGAUAUAAAAGUAUUGAUAUGUGAUUAAUGGAUCUUAUUUAAAACAUUUGUGUGAAGUGUUGGGUUGAAGGGAUUAAGUGUUUAUUAUGUAAUAUUAUUAAAAAAAAUUAUAAAGAAAUGAUGUGUAAACGCAAGACUCGUUUAAGUAUCAAAAACGAAUGUCUCUAUUCUGGAUGUUAGUUUGUUUAAGAUUUUUUAGAAAGUGUACAUGCAACAGGAUAUUUCUAAGACAAGUGUGCAACAAGUUGUACCACUAAACUUUUUUAGAUGGCAAAAUCUAUUUGAGCGUUUCUUAUUAAAAUAGCUUAUGUAAGCUUAUACAUAAGCGCUUGUACUAUAAGUUGCAAAUAUUAGAGAACUUAUUGAAAUAAGUUUAAAACAACUUACGGACAUAUCAUAAAUCGUUUCCAUCAACUCUCUCUCAACCAGUUUAUUUCCAUAAACUCUCAAACUGUAUCACUGUUGUUUAUGUCAAUCGAUAAACUCAGAUAACUCAAUUCAAUCAGUCUCUAAUAAAAGACAUUUGGUAAUACUUUAAAAUAUUGUUAUAUUGAAGCACAUACAUGGACACUGACACACCUGAUUGUUAUAUUCAAUCAGUGUCUAAUAAAAGACAUUUGGGAACGCUUUGUAUUACAUUCAAUAGGCAAUACAUGCGCCAGUUGCACCAGAAUAAGAAAGACCUUUAUCAACUAUCGCCACAGAUAAAUCUGAAUCCAUAAGAAACUGUCUAGCAACGGUUAAACCAAUGAUACCAGUGUAACAACCCGAUUUUCGUUAAAUUUAUUUUAAUUGUUUUUAUAUGUGUUUAUUUAUACUUGUAUGUGAUUAUUUGCUUAUGUGUGUAUUUUGACGGGUUUAGUGUUAGAAGAGUAUUUUAGUCAUUUUGUGGGUAAGGGUAAAUUAGUGAUUUUACCACGUAGAGUUACUUUUAGUGGUUUGAGUAAGAAUAUUAUUUCUUUUUAUUAAGCGACUAGAAAGUGGAGUAAUUAAUUAAGAGUCGGUAAGUGACCGUUAUUACUAUUUUUAGCGUUAAGCGAGUAGAAACAUUUUGAAUUGUUUAGUGAGUGUGUUGAGCCCAUUAAGACAUUAAGGGUUAAGCCCAAUAGUGGUGAGCCUAUUUAAACCUUAGUCUUUGAGGAAAUUAGGUCACCUAGUAUCAUUUGUUCAUUUCAUAUAACAUUUUGAGAGAGGUAGGGAGAGAAAGUUCAAAGAGAAUGAAAAAAAGGGUUAGAAGAGAGAAGACUUGAAGAAACAAGAGGUGAUAGAGAUUCUAGGAGCUUAAUUGAUGCAUAAGUGUUUAUUUGAGAUAAGCGAUUAUUAUGAACUUGCUUGUUGAAAUUCGUGCUCUUGUUUUAGUGAUAUGUUUGGGUAUGUUAAUUUGUUGAUAAUUGAAUUGUUGAUGAUGAAUUAUGACAUGUAGUUGUUGAUUUCUGGUUGAAUCCAUGAUGAUUAAUCUUGGUUAUUGUUAGUUGUUGUUCUUAAGAUCAUUUCAUGGUUUGGGUAUGAAUUACAUCAAAAUUCAAAGAAUUCUGUGGAUUGGUAUGAAUUUUUUACAAAUGCAACUUUUUCGGUAAGUUGAGUUGUUGUUGUUGAUUGUGAUGAUUUUGAAUGAAUGUGAAAUUUGAAUAAGUUAAGUUUUUUUUUUUUUUACUUUUUCAUCUCUACCCUUGUAUUUCAAAUGAAAUCUGGUAUUGAUCGGUACAGAAUUGGUCUUAGGUGUAAACAUGAAAGUUGUAGGUAAGGAUGUUAAAUUUCUAAUGGAGUUGGUUUGAUUCCAAAAUGAUAUUUAGAACUUGAGUUAUAGUCAAAUUACUACACGUAGGUCAUAGUGAAUUUUUAUGAAAUUUCAGCACAACUUUUUUAUGAACCGUGAAACUUCCUCAAAAUUAAUAUUGGGUUUAAUGAAGUAUUUAGAGUGAAUAAUUGAGUAUGUAAUUAUGGAUUUGAGAAUAUGAAUGUGUUGAUGGCUUGAGAAAUAUUUAGGUGGAAUUGAAUCGGAGAAAACGGGUUUUUGAGCUAAAAUGUUGUUUUAAGUGAUUACGUGAAAUAAGCUAUGUUUUGGCGAUUGAACUUGAGGUGUUUGAGUUUAAAAUGAUGUGUUAUUUUUCUGUUUUGAUUCAUAUUUUUGCUGGAACAUAUUCUACUUGAUCAAAACUUGGAUUUUAUAAAUGGUAUGAAACUUGGGAUUUUAUCAUACGGAUUUAGGCUAAACUUGGAACUAAUGCUUGAUAAUUUACAAUUGGUCUAUGUUCAUGCUUAUAUGAUUGAUUAAGAUUGAAUUGUAGGUUUUUAAACUUGGAUAAGUUACUUUGCUUUAAAAAGUGUCAAUGUUGGCCAUUUUUGCAAAUAUGAUACGAACUUGUCAUAACUUUGUGAUUUCAUUGAUUUUGUCGUAGUUAGCCGGUGAAACGCACAUGUAUACUCUACUGCACUCAUAUGUAGUCUAGGUGUAUACAUAGUUGAGGCAUUGGAUCUUGUUUUCUUGGUCUUGAUUUAUUUGUUCCAAUUAUUUUAAAGUUGUAAAAUGAGAGAUGAACUUUGUCGAAAAUAAUCUUUAAAGACCAAAUACAUGGCAAAUCUUUUGUGGAUAGUUUGAUAUAAUUAUAUGAAGAUAUGUGAAUGAUUGCUAAGUGUUGAAUAUGAUGUUUAUCAUAGUUGUUUUGAUGAAUUUUUAACUUAGAAUAAUUUACCAAGCACAACUACAUUGAAGGCUCAUUUAUGAGAGAAAACAUGAUUACAAGAGGAUCUCCAAUGGGAGAUGUUUUUCCUAAUAACAUGUAGAUCUUAUUAGCUACUUCUAUUGAACAAUUUCCUCAAAGUAGAACCCACCACAAUUGAUUUUUGACACUCUUUGAAACACGCACAACCAACAAAAACUUCUACAAAAGAAAAGGGAGAAUUGCUCUAUGGAUCCCUAAGUUUUACUCAAAAGUCACUCUAUUUAUCGGAAAGUAAUGGGAAGCAACUUCCCAUUGCACAAAACCUAUCAAAUGAUACGUUCUUAUCAGCUUUUUUUAUUGGAUGCUAUCUUCCGAUCAACUUAUUUUAAUGGUUGAGCAAUUGAUGCAUAGAACAACGGUAAAAAAAUGGCAAAGGAAGGAUGGGAGAGAGAUCAUUAGACUGAAAAGAGAGGCAUCCAAACCAAAGCCAUCAAGGUUUUGUCAUGAACUAGACUAGUGUCUAAUUCAAUCGGUCUUUGUGCGAACAAAAUUUUGAAGUAGGCUUUCAAGAUAUUAUUAGCCUUUAUUUAGAGUCAAACUUCAUUUUCGCUCUUGAUAUUUUACCCAAAUGUUCGAUUAAUCCUUGAAAUCAUAGGCACUCGUUGCAGGUUUCGGUUUGCUCCAUUUAUUUACUCUCAAUUUCCUCUCUCAUAUAUUUAUGAGAGAAUUGGACACAAAUGGAAGAUUAGUGAAACCUAUUAGUGGAAUCCACUUAUUAAAAUGGGGCACAUUGAUCUUUCACUUGUGUUUAUGUCUCUAAUAAAUGAAAAAUAAAUGGAGGGUAGAUAAAUAGAGCGAUAAAUAGAGCAAACCCGGACUCUCUAAAAUUAAGAAAUUGACUUAAAUGUUCCUUUGUGAAUAAAUAUAAAUAUUAUCAAUUAUUUUUGUCACGUCAUAUUCUUUGGGUAGCAUUUUGAGUUUUAACUAACCCAGCAUAAGAACCAACUCUUCAUAAUGUUACAUUCUAAACUAAUUUGUACAACAAUUACAAUUCCUACCUUCCAAGAUUGUAUUAGAAAUUUGAAAAGAUGACAUCAAAAAUUGCCCGGUUCUUUGCAAUGAACAAAUGAUAGAAACCAAAUUCAAAGAAUAGGUUAGCUACAACAUCAAAGAUCAUCCAAGUUGAUUACAUUGUCAUUACACCAUGGAAUCUCUGGUUUUCUUUCACUAUGAAUAUCUGUAUCAUUGAGAGAACACUCCAAGGAUUUCUCUAAAGACUCAGCAAGAUCUAUCUCCCACAAACCUAGCCUACACAUUGUUCUAUAGGUCUCAUAACCUGUUACCCUCAAGCCAUCUGAUACUAAUUCCUUUAAGCCCCCACUAAUUUGUUCAUCAUUCAUUACAUUUAGAAAAUCUUUCGACAAGCCAGGUUCCCAGAAAACGACAAAGGCACAACUCUUGUCCACGAAUUUAACAUCAAACUCUUCUAAAAAGAUGUCAUGGGAUUCACGGAGAACACUCUUCAACAUGCCGGCCGUCAUACCAAACUUAAAUCCCCAUAAGAAUACUAAAUGUUCGCAAUUUGCUUUUCUUGUAUUAUUGGUCCACACACUAACAUCCUCGUUACAUGAUGAUUCUUGGAUAUUGGCUGAGCAUGAAUGGAAUACAUUAGUGAAGUCUUCAAGCUGCGGGGCCAAUUGCCUAUUUCCAGAUUCAGUUACAACAGGAGAAAUUUUCAAUACAGAGCAGAGCUUCAUAAAUAAGUAGGAUAGCCUUAAAGCAUCAAGACCAUCAAUCUUGCCUUUGUUUAUUGUAUCUGUAAGCAAAACAAAAACAGAAAGAAAGACUAAGCAGCUAGUAAAAUUAACUUUAUAUCAUGUUGACAGAAAUUAUUAAAGCAAUAAGAACAAAACUUCGUAUUCAGAUUGUCACCAGUCACAAUCCCAUGCAUAUGUACAGUCAAUACAUCGGUGACCGUCUAAUAUUGAUUCAACUGCCACUGAUGUGCUAAAUGUAUGAAUGUUGGGAUUGCUGACUGCAUGCAAUCAAAAUUCUGCAAGUUAGAAAGGAUUUGCAUGCUGCUUUCCACAAUUUUUGCAAGAUGACUUGGAUGAAACAAUCAAUAAGCAAACUUCUGAAUUUUGCAUUGGACAGCAAGAGGUAGAGUGACUGACCUUGGUCAGGAAUUUCCAUUUCAACUAGUGCAAGGAAAUGAGUAUUCAUGUAGGAUAAAGCAUUACGGAUGUUGGUCACUUUUUUCAUGGUUCCACUUUUCUUCAAUAAAUAAUUCACGUCAAUUACUUUGGGGAAAAUUUUGCACAAGGAGCUCACAAAUUCAUCUACUUCUGAUGGCAGUGGUGCGAUGAAUUUUGAAUGAAUAAGUGUACAGUCUACAUAAAAUAAAUCAAAUCAGAGUUAAUAAAUGGAAGAGAGUAAAGUAAACUAGAACUAAGUUGAUAGAUUUCCAUUUAAGAGAAACACCAUUAAGGCAAUUGUGGGAGAUAACGGGUUUCUGUGAAGCGGAAAUCAAAUCGAUCACCUCUCGAAAUCCACGAAUUUUCUUGCUCUCCUCCUCUUCCAAACUACGAAGCUCUCUCUGCAGUGCAGAUCUAGAGUUAUAUCCAAAGUAAAACCUAAUGAGGAAGAGACAAGCAGAGAGAGACUCUUGUUACCUCCAACACUUCCUUAUCUUCUCUUGAUUUCGUCAAAACGACACGUACUGCCUGAGUUGUCCCACCCUUUGAAGGUAUCACUAAAGGAAGCAAGUCAUCUGAGAAGUCUACUACCAUCUACAUGCAGAGAAACCCGAGUAAGAAAGAAAUAGGGAAAAAUGUUAAUUCAAUUCUACCUAUUGUGAAGAGAUCAAGGGCUUGUUUGGAUUAACUUAUUUGAGCUUAUCUACUCGCAUAAUCACUUGCAAUAUUGUUAGGGAGGACAUAUGAAAAUAACUUAUGACGUGUCUAAGCUGUUAUUUUCAUAAGCUCUUCAGGAGAGCUUAUGAAAACAAAUUAUAGUUUAUAUGAAAACAGUUUGACUUUAUUUUAUAUUUUGUUAUAAAACUAGUUUAUAUAUGCACUUAAUUAAGUGGUUUAUCCAAACAGGACCCAAAGUUGUAUCAAUCAAAUUAAAGAAGUAACAACAAUAUUAAGUACCUGCAGAAUUAGUUGCACUUGGCGGUCACUGCAAACAUCUACAUUCAAGCACGGUCUUAAUUUGAACUGUUCACUACCCGAGAUAAUAUUCCUAAUAGAGUUGAUAAGUUCGUCUGCACAAAAUGAGUGAUAAAGAAUAAAAGGAGAACCUAAGAAAAAUCUCAUUGUACAAAAUUUACUAAAGAUUUUCUUACCAUCUUUGCUUGUCUUUGUGCCCGAGUUUUUGCAUGUAUUUCUCCAAUGUUUAAUCCGUGAUCUAAUCCUCUCAAUAAAAACUGUAUCAGCAACAGUAGGAGGUGAAGAAGAUUUCAUCACACCAAGAGAUGGAGAACUGGUCCCUAAACGAAUUUUAGCAACUGACUCUUGUGCUCUAGAUAAAUAUGAUAUACCUGUUACACAAAUUGAAAUGGAUCAUAGGUCUUAGGAUAUAAGUAACAGAACCACAGACCCUCAAUUCACAUUUCACAUAGCAUAACAUACAUUUUUCUGUAUAUAAUGGAAUUCUAAAACAUUUUUGUAUGUAGUCACCGAGAUUAUCUGCUCAGGUGUCCAGCAAGUGAGAAAUCACUACUUUGAAUUUAUGGCAAAAUAAGCUUAAGGAACUGAUACAUGAUGGUAACCCUUCUUUUUCUUUUUCACCUUGCCUUAACACAUACCAUGUUAGAGUAUAAUAUAGAUAGAGGCUAAACAUUGUAACUAUCUUACUAGUCUUAAGCUCUAGUCUAUCAGAUUGUGACAUGUGUCACAUAUCUCUAGCUUAUCUCUUUCAUCUAUAUAAACUCUUGUAUCUCUCAGAUUCAUUCAAUACAAAGAAUAUAUUUUUCCUAUUUUCUUUUCUUUCCUUCUCUCAUUCUCUCUCUCUCUCCUCUAACAAACUUCUGUAACAAACUUCAACCUUCAAGGUUCAUCAAUGGCGGUUUCAGUUUCUAUUAUGGUAUCUUGAGCUUUUUCUUCGAUCCAAACCAUGUCUUCGCCUUCAUCACCAAUCAACAAUUCUGAGACGCAACGCGUCACCGCUGCGGCCUCGAAGAACUUCAAACAAGUCAUCUCCGUCAAACUCGACGAAACGAACUAUCUCCAAUGGAAGCAACAGGUAGAAGGAGUGUUACGCGGCACAAAAAUGGUGCGUCACGUUGUUUCACCGCAGAUCCCACCGGUUUUCCUCAACGACGCGGCGCGUGAGGCUGGAAUUGAGAAUCCGGCGUAUACCGAAUGGGAAGAGCAAGAUUCGUUGCUCUGUACGUGGAUUCUUUCCACGAUCUCGUCUUCUCUACUAUCGCGUUUUGUUCGACUUAGGUUUUCGCAUCAGGUAUGGGACGAAAUUCACAAUUACUGCUACACUCAGAUGCAUACUAGGUCAAGACAACUUCGUUCUGAACUUAGAACAAUUACAAAAGGAACGCGCUCGAUUGCUGAGUUUAUCACUCGUAUUCGUUCAAUCUCAGAGUCUCUCAUGUCUAUAGGUGAUCCUGUGUCUCACCGUGAUUUGAUUGAAACUGUUCUUGAGGCUUUACCUGAGGAAUUCAAUCCAAUCGUUGCCACUGUUAAUAGUCAAACAGAAGUUAUUUCUCUGGAUGAGUUAGAAUCUCAGCUUCUUACUCAAGAGGCACGCAAUGAAAAGUUCAAGAAAGCGUUAGUAGAAACUGCUUCUGUUAAUUUGACACAUGCUGAAAAUUCUGGAGAAAAGAAUGGUCACGAUCAACCUCAAACUGGAUCUUAUCCUGAUCAGCAGUUCAAUUUUUCUGGCAGAGGAAAUAUUCAGUGUCAUCUGCUAUAAGACUGGUCAUGAUGCCAGUAUUUGCUAUCACAGGCUCUCUGUUCCUCCUCAGUAUGAAGGAUAUGGUAGUCUUGGUGGAAAUUUUGGAGGUAACCUUGGAAGUGGCUAUGGUCCUGCAAGUGGUUUUGGUAUUCCUUCAAAUGUUUGGAUGCAAGGUGUUGGUCAGAGGAACCCCUCAUAUGGUGCACCCAGAGCUCCUUUUCCUCCUCAAUUUGGCAACUCUCGGCCACCUGCUCCUCAAGCCUACAUAACUGGAAAUGAGUCCACCAAUUCUAACUCAUUCAACAAUGGUUGGUACCCUGACUCUGGUGCCACCCAUCACGUAACUCCUGAUGCUAAUAACCUCAUGGAUGCUGCCUCAUUCUCAGGUUCUGACCAGAUGUAUAUUGGCAACGGUCAAGGUUUGGCUAUCAACUCCAUAGGCUCAAUGAGUUUCCCUUCUCCCUUCUCUCCUAACACUACUCUUACUCUUAACAAUUUGCUUCAUGUCCCUUCAAUAACCAAAAAUCUUGUUAGUGUCAGUCAAUUUUGUAAAGACAAUAAUGUAUUCUUUGAGUUUCACUCUAACAUUGCUAUGUUAAAUCUCAGGAUUCUACUAAGAUCCUUCUAAAGGGAUAUCUGGGAGAUGAUGGUCUCUACCAAUUUGAUCAGCCAUAUAUGCCUUCUGUGUCAAGAACUGCUUCUUCAAGUUCUGUUGCCACUUCUUCUCUUUCCUCAAAUAAUUGUUUUUCUCCUUCUAGUCUUUCCCUAUCUAGGUCCCAAUGUAAUAAUGGAAGUGUGUACACUCCUACCCAUACUAGCGCAGCAAUGAUAGUUCUAAUCUUCUUUCAUUGUAUAAAGUCUGGCAUAACAGACUUGGCCACCCACAUCAUGAGGUGGUUAGAAGUGUUAUGAAAUUGUGUAAUCAACAAUUGCCUAAUAAAAGUUUCACAGAUUUUUGUUCAGCUUGUUGUUUGGGUAAAUCUCACAGAUAACCUUCUGUUUCAUCCAAAACUGUCUAUAAUAAACCUUUUGAACUCAUAUUUUGUGAUUUGUGGGGUCCUGCUUCUGUUGAGUCACAUGGGGGUUACUCUUAUUUCUUAACCUGUGUUGAUGCUUACUCUAGAUAUACCUGGAUAUUUCCUCUUAAGCUAAAAUCCCACACUCUCAUCACAUUCCAAAAUUUUAAAACUAUGAUUGAACUUCAAUAUAACCUCCCAAUUAAAUCCGUUCAAACUGAUGGUGGUGGAGAAUUUCGUCCCUUUACUCAGUUUUUAACAACUUUAGGGAUUACACAUAGACUUACCUGUCCCCACACCCAUCAUCAAAAUGGCUCUGUCGAAAGAAAGCACAGGCACAUAGUAGAAACUGGCCUAACUCUUCUUGCCAAUGCCAAACUACCUCUACACUACUGGGAUCAUGCUUUCUUGACUGCCACCUACCUUAUUAAUAGGUUGCCUUCACCCAUUCUCAACAACAAAUCCCUAUUUUUCCUGCUUCAUCUUCAAAUUCCUGAUUACAAAUUUUUAAAAAGCUUUGGUUGCUCAUGUUUUCCUUUUACCAGACCCUACAACAAUCACAAACUAGAAUUACGUUCAAAAGAGUGUGUGUUUCUUGGAUAUUCACCCUCUCAUAAAGGAUACAAAUGCUUAGAUCCUACAGGCAGAAUGUUUAUCUCUAAGGAUGUUAUAUUCAAUGAGUACAAGUUUCCCUACUCUGAGUUGUUCACUUCUGGUCAGUCUUCCUCACCCCCUACUACCAGUUCUGAUCAUACUCCUUUACCUUCAUUUUUGUUUCCCUUAAAUAACAAACAAUGCCCUACAACUCAGUCAUCAUCAGCUCCUACUACUCCCCUCCAUACUACCAGUUCUCAUUCUUCAUUUCCUGAGACACCUACUGAUAUUUCCCAGUCCAACCAAUCUCAUCAUCAUCAUAGCAUCCAAGACACUCAUGCUUCUUCUCAUUCAAAUCACCACAAUAUCCCACCUGGACCUAUCUUUAAUCCCACACCUAUUUCUACUCAUUCUCCUUCACCUUCUCCCUCUUCCCACUCUAAUAAUACUUAUCAUAGUAUAUCUGCUGAGUCUGUCCCUAGUCAACCUUCAACUCAGGCUGAACCUCACCGUAUUCAUCCUAAUAAUACACAUUCUAUGGCAACAAGAGCAAAACAUGGAAUUGUUCGGAAAAGAAAGCAUCCUACUCUUCUCCUUACUCAUAUUGAGCCUACUGGGUACAGACAAGCCAUGAAACAACCUCAGUGGCUGCAAGCUAUGCAGCUUGAACAUGAAGCUUUGGUGAAAAACAACACUUGGACUCUUGUUCCUCUACCUGCUGACAGACAAGCAGUAGGAUGCAAAUGGGUGUUCAGAACUAAACAAAACCCUGAUGGAAGCGUAAAUAAGUACAAGGCAAGAUUGGUUGCCAAAGGGUUUCAUCAAAUGCCUGGCUUUGACUAUAAAGAAACAUUUUCUCCAGUGGUAAAGCCAGUAACUGUGAGAAGUGUGCUGACACUAGCAGUCACAAACAAGUGGUGCAUUCAACAACUGGAUGUAAACAAUGCCUUUUUAAAUGGCUAUUUAGAGGAAGAAGUGUACAUGACACAACCUCCUGGUUUUGAAGCUGUUGAUCCCUCUUUAGUGUGUAAAUUGAAUAAUGCAUUAUAUGGGUUAAAACAGGCCCCAAGAGCCUGGUUUGAAAGGUUAAAAUCCACUCUGCUUAAGCUGGGUUUCUGCUCUAGUAAAUGUGAUCCAUCCCUGUUUAUCUUACAUGCAAAUCAGCACAGUACCUUCAUGCUCGUUUAUGUUGAUGAUAUACUCAUCACAGGCAGCUCUGCCUCCUUAAUUCAGCAACUGGUUAAAAAGUUAAAUGCAGAAUUCUCUCUAAAGGAUCUAGGCCAGCUUGAUUACUUCUUAGGAAUUGAGGUGCAUUAUUCAGAAAAUGGGUCUCUACUCCUAUCUCAGAAAAAGUACAUACAAGAUUUGUUAGUUAAGGCAAAUAUGGCAAAUGCAAAUGGAAUUGCUUCCCCUAUGGCCUCUAGUACAAAACUAACAAAGUAUGGCUCCAAUCAUGUAUCUGACCCUACAUUUUUUAGGUCAAUAGUGGGUGGCCUACAGUAUGUUACUGUUACUAGACCAGAAAUCUCCUACUCGGUUAAUAAAGUCUGUCAAUUUCUAUCGCUCCUCUAGAGGAUCACUGGAAAGCUGUAAAAAGGAUCCUCAGAUACUUAAAAGGCACCAUUCAUCAUGAUCUUCUUAUCAAUCCUGCACCUAUGCAUCAACCUCUUUCUCUAACUGCCUUCUGUGAUGCUGACUGGGCUUCUGACCCAGAUGAUAGAAGAAGCACCUCAGGUGCCUGUAUACUUUUGGGGCCAAAUCUCAUAUCUUGGUGGGCAAAGAAACAAACACUGGUUGCAAGGUCCAGUGCUGAAGCUGAAUACAGAAGUCUGGCUCAAGCUUCUGCUUAAGUUUUAUGGAUACAAUCUCUUCUUAAAGAACUGAAAGUUCCAACUGCUAUUCCUCAGAUAUUUUGUGACAAUUUGAGCACUGUAUCACUGGCUCAUAAUCCUGUUCUUCAUUCAAGAACAAAGCACAUGGAGCUUGACAUUUUCUUUGUCAGAGAAAAGGUCAUCAGCAAGGACUUGAUUGUUUCUCACAUACCUGCACAAUACCAAGUGGCAGAUAUCCUUACCAAGCCCCACUCUGCUUCCAGAUUCUUGGAGCUCAGAAACAAACUAAGGGUGUCUGACCCCAUGAGAUUGAGGGGGGACUGUUAGAGUAUAAUAUAGAUAGAGGCUAAACAUUGUAACUAUCUUACUAGUCUUAAGCUCUAGUCUAUCAGAUUGUGACAUGUGUCACAUAUCUCUAGCUUAUCUCUUUCAUCUAUAUAAACUCUUGUAUCUCUCAGAUUCAUUCAAUACAAAGAAUAUAUUUUUCCUAUUUUCUCUUCUUUCCUUCUCUCAUUCUCUCUCUCUCUCCUCUAACAAACUUCUGUAACAAACUUCAACCUUCAAGGUUCAUCAAUGGCGGUUUCAGUUUCUAUUAUACCAGAAGAGACAGAAAAACCUUCCAAUUUAGGUUUUACUGACUCACAUCACAUAGGCAACUAAAGUAGCAUGGAUAUUAACUUGCAAGCGCAACAAAACAUUACAGCAAUACCGAUGGAUCUCAAUUUCAGACACAGAGAAAAAUGGAUAUGAAAAGGGAAAUGUAAUUGUAUUAACGAAAGCAGGGGACAAUUACAAGGAGAUAUGGUAAAAUGUAAAUUAUCAAAGAUAACAAACUGAUAGCAAGCAACCAAUUCCCUAAGCACAAAGGCUUCCACAAUUCACGUAUAGUGAAUACACAAACUAACAGAAAGAUUAGCUAGCUGAACUCUCUCUCCUUUAACCACCUACAUAUAAUGCUAAGUCUUGUGCCUUCCAUACAUCCCAUGCAUCAUUCCAUCCACGUCACUCCUCUUAAACCCUUUCCCACGUUUUCUUUCAUAAACCCUCCAUGUCUUGGGCUUGGGGCCAUAUUCAAGGCCCACUUGCUCUUUACCAUUUCUAUCAAAUACAGUACCCACACAAACCCAACUCCUUUCUCCAAAGUAUCCAUAUUUGAAACAAACAACAUUAGAAAACACACAAAUGAAAGUUCUAUUUUUGCUCACUGGCUCGUCAAAUUUAAAAGCAAACUAGCACAAAUAUAAGCAUAGGACCGUAGAAGAUAAAUGUGACAUUGUUAACAAAUCUCAUGAGGAGUUUGAGUAAACAGCUUAAUUAAUACAACUUAUUAAGUGCUUACUUAUAAGUUGUUUCUCUAAUGGAAGAAAGAAUGAGGGAAAACUUUACAUAAGCUCUUUAUAAGUUGUUUCUAUAAAGGCUUAAAUAUGAUUUUCGUCCCUGUAAUUUGGGUCAAUUUUGAUUUUCGUCCCUGUAAAAAAAAAACUUUGAAAAACAUCCCUGUAAGGUUAAGGACGUAUCAUCAAAAGCUCUUCCAAACACUUAAACAGAUAUUUAUGUGAUAAGAUAAGUUCAAAUAAACUCUUCUUAGUACCCUAUAAUUACUAAACAGCAGGUAAAACAAUAACCAAAUAAAUUUCACAGAAAUUCAACAGUUCCAGUUUUUAUUGGUAACAGAACAACAGUUCCAGUUUGGGCAAAUGAAAGUAUUGUAUUUCUAGAACAACAAAACACUAUCUAAAAUACGCCUACAAAGGCAAACACCGAACCUACAUACAAAUUCCUGGUAAUAGUUACUUUAAAAUUAAAAACAUCCCAUUAGAAACAUAAACAAAACACAAAGUACAACAAAACCUCGCACCUUCAUAUAUGCAAGCAUUGAAAUCAAAACCCUGGCGAGCCAUGGUUGCCAAAUGAGACGUCUGGCACAAAAAACUGUAAGCAGGCAUACCAAGCUUUAACUCAUCCCUUGGAAACAAAAGAAAAUUAUACCUGCACAAAAAACACAAUUUUGAAAAAACAAAGAAAAAGUGAAGCAUAAAUUAAGUACUAGAAAGUUUGGCAACAUUAAAUUCAUUUCAAAGAAUGCAAAAACUGCACUUUGAUUCUUUCAAACAACAAAUAGUCCAGGUCAUUAAUUUUUAUCACAACCAGUGUAUCUGCCAGCUAUGGAUCAAUAUCAUCAACAUUUGUGAUUAUUAGAAAUUAGGUGAACUUUAAAACUUUUUACAUUCUCAAGAAUAAGGAUUUAAAAGAUAUGAAACGUCAUUGUAACCCGAUUUUACACUGACAUCCAAUGAAAAUUCAUUGUUUUCUCAUGUCAUCCCACCUAUGCAUGACCGAAAAUUCAUAUUGAAAGUUUGUCUGGUAUCGACAGUACUGACACAGUCACACACUCAUGGUUAUAUUCAGUUACUUCUAUUUUUUAAAUUAGUACCGGUGUCGACAUGUUAAGUGUCAAUGUUGUGUCUCAAUCACUACAUACUAUCCCACUCUUGUAACUAACAUUAUAAAACUGAUGAUAUUAUACGACAAAAAACACUGCUCAUUUAAGAUGUUAGUGUAAGACUAAUGUACUUAAGUCUUUGGCCAUUGAAGUCCAAGAAUAAUGCCUGCGCUGAAACAUUCUGUAAGGUUUACUCAAAAUGGUAUUACAACAAAACAAAAUGUUUAUUUUCUCAAAGUAUUAUUGGUUUCGACAUAUCAAUGUCAGUAUCGUGUAUGUGUCACUACUUCACGGCAUCCCACGCUUGUAACUACAUCAUAGUCCAUAUAAUUGAUGACAUAAUAAUACAAAAUAAAAACUCACAUUAGAUGUCAGUGUAAAACUAAUGUACUAUCAUUAUAUGUCUAUUAAGCUCUAAGAAAGAACUGUGCAUGUACACAUUUUUUCAAGUUUAUUCAAAAAGGUAUAACAACAAAAGAAAACCAUCAUUUCCUAUCACAAGCGGUUAGCAGUUGGUUCGUACCACACAAGAGCAUAAGUUCAACUCCCUCUGCCAACAUUAAGACUUUGUUAGUGGGUAAUUUGUAAGUAAGUACCCCUGUCUGUGCUCUGAAACCUGCUGUGACACUAGUGAGCGUCCGAGACUCAAUUCAGAUAAACUUUAGUUUAUCAACGAAAACUAGCAUUUUCCUAUGAAACUGAUGAUAUUAUACAACUAAAAUAGUGCUCAUUUAAGCUGUUAGUGUAAAACUAAUGUACUUAGUCCAAGAAUAAUGCCUGCGCUGAAACAUUCUUUCAGGUUUAUUCAACAAAAACUAGCAUUUUUUUUUUUUUUUUUUGUCAAGUAGUCUAGUGGCUAGAAUUCACCUUUUAAGGUGAAUAAAUGGGGUGUCCAGGGUUCGAACCCGCACCCGCCUCCGCAUAUAACAAUGCAUUGUCUGAGCUAUGCUCAUGUAGCAUUUCUUAUUUAAUACUAUGAUUCACACUUUCUAAUAAUAAAUAUUCUAAUAAUCAACUUAAAAAACGGUUAUGAGUGUUGUAGUUAGAAGAACUCACGGAUGAGCAACGAGGUUGUUAGAAUCUGUAACAGAAAACGGGCAGACAGCGAACUGAAGAAGCUGAAACCGCUGAGCAGACUGACUAGCUUUCAGAUAAGCAGUUUCCGCCGUAUCGAAAGGCUGAACACGGUGCCACGGAGUAGUGGAAGAAGAACCAGUUUUCUCCAUAGAAAUGGCGAUAAAAUCGGAAUUUGAGAUGUUGGUUUUGAUUUCCUCUAAUGAAUCGUUGAAGUUGGAGAUUGUUACUUGUUUUACUUUCCAUUUCGAAGAGGAGAUUUUGGUGCAGAGGGAACGUUUUUGGUGAUGUAGUAGGAAAUGGAAGAGCGAAGAAGAAGCCAUUGAUACGGCGUCGUUACUGUUUCGUUUAUGGGUUUUUGCUUCAUAUAAACCUUUGGAGUUUGCUUAGUGGGUCGGAUCUUUAAGUUUGAAUUAUAAUAAAUAAUUUUCUUUUAAAUAUUAAAUUAUAAUAACAACAAAGAUAAAAGUAUAUGAAAAAAUAUAAACUAUAAGCUAUUGAAAUAAGUUAUAAGUUUCUAAUAAAAUGACCAUUAUUAAACAUGGUUUUUCUGUCACACAAGCUUAUAUAAGUUAUAAGUUAGUUUAUUGGUCUUAUCAAACAGACCAUAUGGACAUUUUAAUUUAGUCCCGACCUAGUGUCUCAAAUUAACAAAUCAUCAUCGGUUUAGUCUCUGAACUAUCAACAUCUUAUCAAUUUAAUCCUUUAACUAUACAAAUAUAUUAAAUAGUCCUAAAAUUAUAUUAAAUUCAUCUUCUUUUUUUAAUAUAUGAAAUUCAUCUAUUUAGUCCCUAGCAUUAAGAUAGGUGGGACCAAAUGGAUUGAUUUACAUAUACUUUAAUGACUUAAUUGACGGAUUUUGUAUAGUGUAAGGACUAUUUGAAAUAUAUUUAUAGUUUAUGGACUAAAUUGAAGGUCCAUAAAUGUCAUCAAGUCUCAUUGUUUUGUAUUUAUAAUAACAUGUUGCAGUAAGAAUGAAUCUAUGAAUGAUGAAUGUUUAAUAUGUUGGUUAGCAUGAUGUGGUUGAUUGCUCGUCUUCUAUGUAAAUUGUGUUUUGAGAAACGAUGUUGCUCCUUGUGGUGAUAAUUGUUGAUGAUAAAUAUGAUGAUGACUCUUUUGUUAAUUAUGACUUGUUGUUUGUAUGAAUGUAAAUACUUAAUAAUGCAAAUGGUGGUGUUUGGUGAAGAUAUUAUAUGAUGGUGUAAAUUAUAUAAUAUAGUUUUGUGAUUUGUGCAUUGUCGGGUCCUUAAUUGAAAGUUCAUGCAUUCAUAGUCACAUUGAGUUUUUUGGUGAAGAAUGUAAUUGGUGGUGUUUAUUACAUUAGUUUGUGAAGAACGUAAUUGGUGAUGUUUAUUAUAUUAGUGGACUCAUACUAAAAUUAUUUAGUACAUUGCAUGCACUUGAAGUUGGUGAAAUGUGUCAUACUUGAAUAUGUGACGUGAUGAAUAUGUGCAUUGGUGAAAUUUGGUGAAUGUUGUGAUUACGUGAAAUUAUGGACUUGUAUAUAUUACUUGGGCUAAAAUAUGGUUUUAGUCCCUGCAAAUAUGCCUCGUUUUGGUUUUCGUCCCUGUAAAAACAAAAUAUUUUGCAGGGACCAAAAACUACAAAAUUGGUUCAGUUAUAAUGUGCCACGUAUGCAAAUUAUCACAAACGUGGGGUCAGGGACUAUUUUCAAAAACAAAAAAUUUUGCAGGGACCAAAAACAAUUUUUUUUACAGGGACUAAAACCAAAACGAGGCAUAUUUGCAGGGACUAAAACCAUAUUUUAGCCUAUUACUUGUUGUGCAAUGAUAGAAGUAUGAUAAUGUUCAUUUGGAGUUAGAAUUCUAGGAAUGUUGAAUAUGUAUAUGUGAAUUUAUUUAAAAUCCUUGAAUGCUUUACUUGAUAAUAAUUUAUUACGUGGAAUAUUAUCUAACCCUCAGUGGUCGUUUGGUUGAUCGCCUGCCUAUUUGUAUGAAUGGGUAGACGGCGUGUAAGACUGAUUUUGUUUAUUACUUGUGAAUUGCUUGAGGACUAGCUUGGAUGCUACCUCCAUUUACCUUUUGCUCGAAGUCUAAUUGGGCUCUGAUUAGGGUGUUGGGCAUUUAUGUUUAUUGUCAUUUAUCCAUUGUUGAAUUUUUAUUCGAUGAGACUAUGGUUAUGUAUUUGAAACCUGAGACAUGGCGUUGAAUUUUAUUGUUCAUGUAUUGAGGAUUAUUAUAUGUUGUUGAGAUAUUUUUGUAUGAUGAUGUUCCGCUACGAGUUUUGAAAACAUAUUUAUGCAUGUUUUGAGAAAACAAAGUCAUGACAUCUUGAGCUCGUGUGAUUUAAUAGAAUUAAUUGCAUGAUUUAUUGCAUAUGAAGUUUAGCGUGUUACAGGUGGUGUCGGAACGAGAGCACUGGUGAAGGGGAUUGAUGAGAGGAGAAAGACAACAAUGAAAGUGAAAAAGACACAAAUGUAUUUUUUAUGUUUCAUUGGCAAUGAGAGAUAGUAGGCAGAGAUGAGAGUGUUUCAAAAAGAGUUGUCUUGAAAAUGAAAACAUUGUAAGGUAAAAGAAGAAAUGUGGAUGCCUUCGUUGCAUUGGAAAAAGAAAACGUGUAACAACCUAAAAAAUGAUGGGAGGAAAAUAACAAAUACAAAUUUGAAAUAGUUGGAGGAAAAUAUUUUAGGGUUUAAGAGAUUAGCAUUAAAUGACACAUGAAAUCUUAAUAUAUAAUACUAAGGUUCACAAUGCAUGCUCCAUUUGUCUAAAACCUAAAUCCUUGAGCAGCAAUUCCCUCACCCUAAUCUAUUUAAUUCUGAUUUUUAAGUUCUAAAUUUAACUUUAGUGGAUAAUUAUGAUUGAAAUGUACACAGCCACAGUCUGUUGGUUUUCUCCAUUCUGCAAUGAACUCCUUGCCGUUGUCAUUUUGCUCUCCUUUAUAAACAGCAUAUCAGGAUUUGUCUUUCCACCAUCUCCGAACCCUCCUGCGCAGACAUGGCUUUCCACCAUAACAACGUGGCGAUGCUCUCUUACAGCAUGUUGAUUGGCAUGUAUGCACAAACUUUUCUUAAAAAUUUCCUUAUUUUUACGGUUGAAGCAUGAUAUUUGGUGUGUCGUUUUUUUGCAGCACCACUUGAUCCCAAUCCAGUGACAGAAAAGGAUAGGAGGAUCAACGAGCUACGCCUUAAGUAUAGGACAUACAUGGUUGAAGUUGACGUUGAAUAUGUGUGUGGUUUUGUUAUGGUAUGUUCUCCUUCCAUCUGUUAUUCUUUUUUAAAACCCUAACAACGUUUUUUGUUUCCAUAGGGUGCUAUUAUGCUGCCGAUGAUGUUUUCCCAUGAUUUUGGAGACCAGAUCCAAAAUUAUUACUACUAAGAAAAACUAUUACUACCAGGGCCUAUGAAUUUUAAUAAUCGAUAUCUAAGAAAAAUUUGACACAUUGCUACUAUAAAGUGUACACCAAAAAAAACAUUACUACUAUAAAGUGGAUUUUUGGUGUUUGACAAAAAAAUUAAUUUUAAUAUUAUUUAUAAAAGUUGGGUAAUCAUUCAUAUAUUGGUUUCGUAAAAGAAAAAACUAAUUUUUUAUAUGUAUGAUGUUUGUGACUGUUCCCUUUCUAAUACAGAUGAUAAAUCAACAUGUGUGUAGGUUGGAAUUGAUAAAGAUCAUUUUCUCAUGAUUGAUUGAAAAGAUAUCAAUGGACUUAGCAGUUAUUUUGAUGGAAUAUCAAUUGCUAUAACUACUGUUAAGUCUAAUUAUUGAGACUUUUCACUCUCAAUGGGAAGAGCGUUUCUCAUUCAUGCUAAAGCUGCGCCCAACACUAAAAAAAACGGAUAUUGCAAAUGACUGUUUGGUUGGGUAGUGGGAUUUUAAUGAGAUACCACAAAUUGUGCUGUAUAUAUAGGCCAAGGAUCAUCACUCUAUUAUUCACGUAUUCACUAAACAUUGAAAUCACGAUUCUAGGUGAAACUCUUCCUUAGGGCGCUUGCUACCACCAUGGCUCCACUCAUCACUCCUGCUGCCGCCAUUGUUGCUGGAAAGAUCAACAUCAAACUUCGAGUUCGUGUCAUCCAUGUUUGGACCGUGUCUGAGUUCAACAACCCAAAUGAGGAUAACUCUAUUCACAUGCUAUUGCUUGAUGACAAGGUUGGUUUUUGGAAAUUAUAUUAUGUGGUCUUAUAUUUUGAAAAUUAUAUUUGGCUCAAGUUGUCUUAUGUUUCACCUUUGUUUAAUUUGAAAAAACAGUUUGGAAAGAUACAAGCAUCUGCUAAGAAACAUUUGGUGUCAAGGAUAAGGUCAAACGUAGAAGAGGGAUCUACAUACGACAUUGAAAAUGUUUUGGUGACUAAAAACGAUCCUAAGUAUCAGGUUACCCAACAUAGGUUCAAGCUAAACCUUAUAGACAAGACAAAGUUCUUUAAAAUUGAUGCAACUACUAUUCCUUUAAAUCAUUUCGAUUUUAUGCCUUUCAAUGAAAUAUUGGAAGCAGAGAGGGAGGAAAAGGUUGUCGGUGAGUGUCUAUACUUGGAGUAAUAUAUUGAGCAUAUAGAUAUUACAACUGACAGUAAAUGAUGUUAUUUUCAUUUGUUCUUGCAUAUUGUUUUUUUUUACCGUAGACAUUUUACCGUAAAUCCAUUACGCGCAGAUGUGAUUGGAUAAGUCGUUGAGAGAGAUGAAUUGAAAGAGAAGGAUGUCAAUGGUCGUAGGAGUAAGAUAAUGGAUCUUACCCUACAAGAUUCUGAGUACGUGAUUUAAAAAUGACUCAAUGUUUUAUGUUAUCAAAUUUUAUUGAGUUAUAUUAACCAAGUGAUAUGUGUGUUUCAGAAGUAGGAGAGUUCAUUGCACUUUGUGGGCUAACUAUGCUGAGAGGAUGAAUUCAUUCCUGGCAGCUCAUGAUCCAUCAUCACCUGUCGUUGUUUUGAUCCAACAAUGCAAGCUAAAAAAAUACCAAGGGAUCAUGGACGUUUCCAAUGAAUUCAAAUCUAAGUAAUAUAAUUACAAUUUGUCAUAUUUUGUUUUUUCAUUCUUUAAAAUUAUUACUGGACUUUAGUCUUCUAACUGACCUCUGCCAUUGGUUGCUAACCAGAAUUGAUGGUGGAGAUGUACAAGUGUCCCAAUCUAUAAGUCAUAAUACAACUUCAACAGUUGUCUCUUUGGUUGAUGAUAUGCUUCAGACUAAGAGAAUGACAAUUGAGGACUUAAUAGAGGCAACUGAGGUAUACUAUGUGACACUGUAUGAAUUGAAGUGAGAUUUGUUAAAUGCACCAUUUUAUCUUUUUUUAUUGUUUCAGCAAUGUCAAGGGAUUGUUCUCGCUACAAUUUGUGGGAUCGAAUCAGAAUACAGUUGGUAUUACCAGGCAUGUACAAAGUGCGUAGGAAGAGUGAGAACUGUUGCAAGUCGUUUGUAUUGUGGAAAGUGUAACACUGGAAGGAACGCAGUGGCAAGGUAAUUAAAAUCACACAAAAAAAAAAUACAAUUGUCUAUAAAUAUGAUUAUCAAUUCGUGCUCAAUUGUUUGUGAUGUUGUUUUUCAAUUAAUUUAUCAAAUGUUGCAUAUUCCGAAAUAGGUUCAAAUUGCAUGUUCAAGUCAUUGAUAACACUGGAUCAACAAGCUUUAUACUAUUUGACCGUAACGUUUCAAAAUAUGUGAACGGAACUAUACAAGACAUGAUUGAUGCUCAGGUAAGUUUUCUUAGUGUCUUGCAAACUUCCAUAAAACGGUUACAACCAUGGUUAUGAUAGAGUUUUCCAUUUAUGUGCAUUUUCUGUUUCAAAUGAGUUAUAUUAAUUACAUGUGUUAUGUCAAUCAGCCCAACAAUUCGUCUGAUUAUCCGUCAGAUCUUGACUCCUUUGUUGGAAAGCAAAUGUUGUUCAAAGUAGAGGUCAGUGAUGGUAAUCUACUUCACAAUUGGCGCAAUUAUGUUGUCAAGAGAACAACUGCUGAAGAGGAUGUGAUCAAUCAAUUUGUUGUUUUCCAUAAUAUAAAGGUAUAUUAAUCAACAACAUCCCCCGUUAAUUAUUUGUGAGUUGAAUGAUUUCUUUCUUAUAGUUUUUGUUUGCACCUUCAGAUUUCUGAUAAUGAAGAUGUAGCAAAUGAGACGCUAGAUGAGGUGUGAAAUAAAUUCUUUCCAUAAAGUUUAUUUGAUAUUCCAUGCGACACGUGAUCUGAUUAAAUAUAAAUUUCCUUAUGUUAAUAUCAUUUUUUAUUACAGAAUCUAGAUAACGUUUGUGCUGGUUCAUCCAAUACCGUGGUUAAUCUUAUGGAUGCUAUGGAUUCUGUGGCUAAUAACAAUGACAAGGAGAAAGAAUUUGAUACUACACCUUGCAUCAAAGUGUCUGGAAAGAAUUCUACUGGAACAAUUUUGUUGGAUUCGACCCCGUCUGCUGAUGCUGGAGAUGUCUCUGCUACUAAGCUUGUCAAGCUCAAAUCUGUUGUGUCUGGAAAAAGGUCUGAUGGAACAGGUUUGUUGAUUCGACCCCGUCUACUGAUGCUGGAGAUUUCUCUGCUACAAAGUCUGUCAAGCUCAAAUCUGUUAAGAUUGAGCCAAAGAACUGAAAUUUAGAGGAUCUAUAAUAAGUCAUUGGCCAGUCAACGUCAACUUCAACCAUGUAUAGGAGAUUGCAAGGAAUUCCUUAAUCGUUGAUAACUACCUGCUCUAACUUUCCCAAAAAGUUUGCAUUUUUUAAUAUCCUUUAUCAACAUGUUUAGCUUUAUCUUGAAUAUCCGACUGACCAAAUCAGGUCUAUCUUCAGGCCUUAACCCGUGCUUUUUCAAAAAAUCCACCAACUCCGGCCAUUUGUGAUUGCACGUAAAUGUAAUGAAAAGAUCAGGAUAUCCCACCCAUGCACAAAUUGCCAUGGGAUCUUGAUAGUUUUGUAUCAUGUAGCUUGCUCUGAAACACCCAGUUUUCCCAACUUAAAAAUUUCAAAACAUUAAUCAGAGUAAUCAACACAUAAACGAAAUGCUACACUUCUAAAAUCAUAAAUGAGAUAAUUAACUAAUUAUCCUUCAACAUAAAUCAAUUCCAAAACAUUGCAGCGGAUUAAGUUCAUCAACAUAAAAUAAGUCUUGGCACGCAUGCCUUAUCAAAACAUCUCAUAAAUUCAGUUAAACAACUUAAUCAUAAAUCAAAUACGUAAAUGAACAGAAAAUAGCCACAAAAGAUCCCAUCCUGUUACGUAUCAGAGCAACCUAAGGACUCAGUGAGGGAUAACCACUCACGACAGCAAAGCAGCGGCAACUACUCUCGAUCACCUGCAAGUUACUCAUACGAAGAGCAACAUUUCCAAGCAGAAGGGGUGAGAUUUCACAAAACAAUAAUAUUAAACAUAUAAUUCAACAAUUAUAUUUAACAACAUGAAAACAUCAUAAUAUUCAUCAUAGAUAAUAAUAUAUCAUUUAUCACUUCAUCAAUAUUUCAUAUAAAGAAUCACAACUUCAAUCAACUUGGCAACUUAACAUCUUUGACUUGACAAAUGCAACUAUGCAACUUAGACCUCUUAUAUGCAUGUGGUACCAAUCCAGAGCAUCAAGCCCUCAACGUAAUAAGUAUUAAUAUACUUCCAGGGCAUCAAGCCCCCAACAUAAUUGAGCUAAAGCUCUAGGGCAUCAAGCCCCCAACGUGGUGAGCAAAAGGCUCCAGGGCAUCAAGCCCCCAACAAUGAAUGCUAAUGCAUGAACACAACAACUUAACUUCUUAUAAACAACAACCUCUUAUAAGUCCAAUAAUUCGGAACAUCAUCAUCAUCAACUUAGACCGACUCAUGCAGCUUAGUUAAAUAACAAACAGCAACAUAAGCAGUAUGGAAAUCAUCAUGAUAUAACAAUAUCGAAUGCAAAUCAACAACAUCUCAAAUAUCAACAUAAUUCAUAUAAUGUAUAUACAAUUAUAUACCAUUAACAACAACAUUAGAUCAUAUUAAAUCAGGCUUACUGAAACAACAACAGCAAGAUAAACAACUUAGUUUCUAACCUCUAAGAUCAACUCAUAUCAACUUGUGCGACAAAGAUCGCAUUAUCCUAAACAAGGCAUUUUGUAACUAGUCAAUUCGCGAGGCGAGGGCCUCUAGUCGCCAUGGCGAGUUCAGGUAUAACUCCCACAAGUUCGUUCUUAAACUAUUUUAGGUUCAAUCUCAAAUCUUUCAUAAUCAUUAUUAGACAUGUUCAGGCACUCAAAAACAUCUAAGGAUCAACUCAAAAGUCAAAAUUACGAAAUCUGGAUAGCUCUCUGGUCAUGCUCGCUAUGGUGAGUUCAUCUGUUCGCUAUGACGAGCUUCGAAGUGCAAUUCGCGAGGCGAGGGACAAUUGCUCGCGAGGCAAGCGAUGAACUUCAUCACUCGCGAGGCGAGGAUCAUCGUUCGCGAGGGCGAGCAAUGAAUGUUGGCUCGGGCAGAAGUGCAGUUUUCACGAAAAUUCACUAUUUCACAUGGUUUUAAUCCUAACAUUGAUUCCAGAAUUCAUCCUACAUAUUAUCUAAGGUCUAGGAACAGUUUCUACAUCAAUCUAACAAAUUUCCACCGUUUAAUCAAUAAUUCUACAUUUUUGACCUAGUUUUCAAUUCCUCUAAAACUCAUCCUACAUCAUGGUAAAUCUAACCAUUGAAUCACAUACUUAAUAGAAUUGCAAAGUUAGUCUCACCCUUACCUUAAUACUCAAAAUCGCAGCACUCUAGGUCUCUUACUGUUCUCUUGGCUUUUUCUCCCUUUUCUCCAAAAACUGGUCGUACGUACGUUAUGUUUUUCUAACUAGGUCUUUCCUAUUUAUAUCUCGUCCAUCUAUCUUAUCUUAUUUCUCUUUCUCCCCCAAAACUCUCUAAAAUCUCAAAACAACCCCUAAACUCAAUAAUUAUUUUAUUUUCAAAUCUUAUUUUAUUAAACAAUAAAAUAAGUCACAACUCCUCAUAAAAUCACCUCAAUCAUAUAAACCUCUUAAAUCACACAUAUAUCAUAUAAAUAUAAUAUAAACUCAUCUUAAUAACUUCUAGACUCAAUUAAAUAAUUAAAUAAUUCAAAGAGGGCGUUACAUGCUCCUCCCACAAACCUUGACGGGAGAACAACUCUUUUACCUGCAGUGGCUGGACUUGUUUCUCCCCUGAGUACUGCUUCAUACAAACCCUUAUACAUAUCAGCCCUAACUUCAUUUUGGUGAUCUCUAUACCACUUCAAUCACCAAGACUCUAUCAUACUGUAUGCAUCAACCAAAAACUGUUGGAAAAGCCGCCUACAGAAAACCAAGUGUGAAAACGACAGAUCUCUUUGCUGUAUUUUAUAAGCAAACCACUCUUUCAUAGAAACAAACGGUCGUUUUAUAGCUGACUUGGUAUGAGUAUCACUGAAUUUUAUGUCCCUUCGGAAGCCAUCUUCUCCCCUAGAAAAUAUCAACGGAUAUUGCAAAGGCAAGUAUGAUGUUUCAAACACAAAUAUGCGUUUUAGGAGACCGGAUUAUUCUUCGACUACAAUAUCUCUGUCGAAAUCGGCUGAAUCAUAAUCGCCAACAACUAAUGCGGAAACUUCGGAUGCAGUCGGUAUGUUGUAUCUUCGCCCAUCAUAACCUCUUUUCCCUAAAAUCCGCAAUUUAAUUUCAGGGGCAUCGUUUUGUAGCAAUUUAUCUCGAGCUAGUCUACAUGAUUUGGCAAACGAAUUGAUGUUGUCCAACAUGUUCCUUAAUUCCUCCACAAUGGCGGACUUUAGCGAGUGCCUAUCAUCCUCCAUCCUAAAUAAGAAGAAGGCAAACUAUAACAAUAAGAUUUCAAAGUUAUUGGUGAAUACUUGACUGCAGAGAACAAUAGAGAGGCAUACUAUAAAUUGAAAAAAUUGCUAUUAUACAAAGAUAUUACCCAACAGCAGCCAUCCGGUUUUUCAACUCGUUAUCUGUGUCGUAUAUAUAGAGCCGUGCAAACUUGGGGCCGUUACCAGGUGUUGGGAGUAAACUCCUUAUUCGAUUGUAAUUUUCUCCGUUUAAGACAUAUAUUGGUGGAGCGUUACCAUUAUUAUUUGUCUUGUCUAUGUUCCCACCCAUAGAUGUAAAUGAAAACAUACUGUUGAAAGAUCGAAUGUUUUCAAGAAAGAAUUUGCUUUUCCUGUCUUUCUUGUGAUACAAAUCAUAUAAUCCUUUAGGUGGUCGCUUGAAUGGUGCAAUUUCUAUCCUCCCUUGCAUACAAUACAUUGAAAAUUCAGGAUUUGAAGUGUGCCAUGAUUUACAACUUAAUCUUAUUUCCACUUAUUCCACUAAACUCUUCUAAAUUCUAAAACAGCCCCCACAACUUAAUCUUAUUUUAUUUUCAAAUCUUAUUCUAUUAAAUAAUAAAAUAAGUCACUUAAUAAAUCAACAAUACAUCACAUAAUCAUAUAAAUCACAUAAGUCAUAUAAAUAAACUCUAAACUCAAUAAAAUAAUCAAAUAAUUAAAUAGGAUGACACAUCUCACAUUUCUUAUUUCUCACCAUUUCUUUUUAAUUGAUUUGAGACAAUGAUGACUCUUGAAAAAUAUUCAGAAAUACACUAUGACUCUUUCAUAUGUAAGGAUUCAAGCCCACCUCUUAAAGUUUGAAGACGUACAUUCUUUACUUUGUCUUCUCCUUUGCAAGAGGUUUGAAGCUUCUUCCAUGCCUCGUUCGCGGAUGUUGCAUUUAAAAUUUUCUCAAACUCAUAUUCAUCGAACCAAUGCUUGGUAGAUGAUGAAUAGAGCUUUUUUGUCUCUCUUUCUUGAAUAGUUUAAAAUAUCUCUUUUUCAUUUAAGUUAAGGAAUGUUGUGAUUCCUUAUAGCCUUUUUGAACAACCUCUAAAACAUCAUCUGCUCCAUGGAGAGCCUUUAUUUUGAUGCACCAAUUAUCAUAAGUACUCCCCUUAAGAAGUGUAACUUAGACGGAUGCCGCACCAUUACUCGUUGUUACAAUGUAAUAAUUUCUUCUCAGAACCUAAACUAUGAUUCCACUUUGUUGGAAAAGGAGAAGGUUAUAGUGAGAACUUUCUGAGGAAUUUAGGAGGAGGACACUUUGAUCUUUGUUUACUUGCUUGUACUUGCUUCUACUAGUUUGGUUUUAAAAAUGACAAGUCCCUUCUAGAUACAUAACAAGCUUUCUAGUUCUAGAUACAUAUUGAGGUUCUAAAUUUAGAACAUAACAAGCUUUCUAGAUACAUAUAUGAUCGAUGUGAUACGCCCUUUGAAAUGCAUAUUGAAUCUAAUUGUUGUUUAUAAUUUCUUUUCUAGGUUUAGUCAAAAAGGUUUAUAAAAACAAUUACUUUUAAUCUAAAUUCAAAUCCAUCCAUUUUUCCACCCUACCAAAUGGCAAAAUUACCUCUUAUUAUGAUAUUUGUCUAGGGAAAUAAAAAACAACAAUACAUAUAACAAGAAUAUAUAUGUAUCAAAUCAUAUUCCUUUAUCUAUGAUCUCUUUGUUUCUUACACAUGCAACCCAUUCAGAAAUUGUUUGUAAAAAUACAAUGACUCUUGUGGCUUAUAUUCCGGAACAGUGUGCCCAGAUCCCUGUAGAGAUAUUCAUAAUUAGUGAAAAAUGUGAGAUUUAUGUUAAUUUGUAUUGAUAUUACAUUUUUAUGUACAUACCUUUAUGGUUAGAAAUGUGAGAUUGUUGGCGUAUCUUUGUGUAUACCUGCAACAAAAUCAAGAAAACUUAUGACUCAACCUCUAGUAAGAUUAGUCUUUCUCUACAUUUCUAACACAUUUUUAAUUGGUACACUCCAAAAAAUUUAAAUUGGAUGUUAAACUGAUCAUAAUCAUGCUCAUACAUUAAGUUCAUUCAACAUUAUUCAAUUAAAGAACAAACAGCUUAGAUACUGGGCAACUCGCCUCGCGAGUGCAUCUGCUCGCUAUGGCGAGCUCAGGAAAAAGGUUACUCGCCGUGGUGAGUACGAGGCGAACGAGAAAAAGGGUGCUCUCGGGAGUUUUGACAUUUUUCUCACUAAAUCUUCAUUUUUAAGCUCCCUAUUCAUCUUUUUAAUCUAAAAAUUGUCUCAGCCCUCUCUAAAAUCAUUCAGGCACUCAAAACUAACCAAAUUACAUCUUAUAACAACAAUCUAAAAAUCAUGAUCUCUCCCAUUUAAUUAUUAUUUUUUUUUGGUACAAAAGAGGGCAAAGCUGAUCAAUUUAAACCCAUUUAAUUAUAACAUAUAAAAGAUGAAUCUCACACAAGGUGAUUCCAUUUAAUGGAUUAAAAUAUUUGAAAAUUCAUUAUCUGGGAUAGAAAAAAUAUAGAAUACUCAACAACUUCAUUGUUGAUAAACCCUCAUUCAUAACAAAAAUAAACAAAACAAUAGUUACUUUAUUGUCGUAAAGGUAAAUACCAUUGACGAACUGCGUGAACAAAGAUCGUAUUUCAUUGUCUUUUUAUUUUCGUUUUCUUUUUAUACAUUUAUACUAGUUGUUCCAUGAUUCCGUUUAAUCAAUUUUUAUUUUUAUUUUUGUGAAUGAGGGUGGUGUUCUACUUUAUGCCCAAUAUGUUGUCAAUUAUUCGAUAUGAAUUUUUUUUUAGAUUAAUUACACGUGAAUAGAAGACAAGCAGACAACAAGUUGUGCCGCUCUAAGCCUUUAAAAGCAUAAAUGUAAAAUAUUUUAAAGUUCAUAAUGCAGGUUAUUUUAUUUAUUUUUGAAAGAAAAUUUCAUAAUGUAGGUUAUGAAAGUUCAUUAUAUGGGAUAAUAAAAAGAAGGAAUAGCUGAAGAAGUACCCAGCAAUUUGAUCAUUGGUUAACCAAGGCCUCCAUUCAUCAACAAUCUUAUAUCCAAUUGAUUUUGUCCAAGCUUCAGUUCCAGUAUAUGGGACACACAUGUCAUGAUCACCACUGCCACAUAAAAUAAACCUUUAUUAGGCCCUUCUUAAAAACAAAAAAAAAUAAAUUGAAUGGAUACAUAAUACAUUGAAGUAAGUAAUUGAUAUGUAUAUAAAUUUUGAUAGGGGUGUUUUGAUAGCAAAAUGUAAAGUAAUUAUUGUAUGGCUAAACUAUAUAUUUAGUCCCUUAAAUAAUUUAUGAGUUUCAUUUUAGUCCCUUAAAUAAUAAAAAGUCUGUAUUGGUCGUUUAUUAGAGGAUCAAAAGUGUAAUUUAACCUUAUUAUAGCAAGAUAGAAAUGCACCUGUAUAUUAAUGCUCUAUAACCCUUGGAAGUAAGUUUCUUGUGGUAUUUGAUCAUACUUCCUGUAUCAUGUUUGUAUUUAAUUUGGUCUGUACAUAAGGUCCAUCCCUUGACCACACUUUUCUGUUUUAUUACAAUGAACACAAUUAGAUUCUGUUUGAUGGUUAAGAUAAAAUAAACUAUAAAUAUGAAUCAAAUAAGAUAAUUAGACAAUGAGAAUCCUUACCUCCACAGUGUGAAUAGCUCUUCUGACUUGAGGAUUGUUUAGCCAUACCAUAGCAACCUCAUCGUCCUAAACAUAAAGUUUUAUUUUGUUACUUAAUUUUUUUUUAAGAACCUAAAUUAGCCCACUCAAAUUAGCACCUGAGACCUCAUGGAGGAGCACACUCUCAGGUCUCAAGCCAAUUACCAUUAGGCCAACCCAACUGGGUUAUUUUGUUACUUAAAAUUAUACUCCAUUAAUCAAAUAAACAAAAGUCAAUUAAAGAGCUAGGAAGUAAAAAUAAAAUAUUGAAUUUUAAAGAAGUAAAUUAAGUAGAAAAGUAACUUACAAUGCAAGGAGGAGCAGUGUCACUAUUGCUUACAAGUUCUGGCCAAGAUGGCACAAAUCCAUCUUUUACAAUAGCUCUAUAGGGCCAAGCACGUCCAAACAUUCUUUUCCUUAUAGGAAGAGAUUUAUCAGUCUUACCCAAUUGCCUAAAGCUUAAUGGCAAUUUAGAAUUUGAUGUUUUAUUCUCUCCACCAUGAUAACAUGGUUCCAGAAUGUCAUAUACAUUUAAUCCCUGAAUGUCCUAAGAUUUAAAAAAAUUAAAAUAAGUACCACAUAAAUCAUAAGGUUUUAUAUGUUGUGAAAAAUGUAGUCUAACAUAAAUCUAGCAAUGCCCUAAAAAAAAUCAUUAUUAAAUUCCUCAAUUGUAGUAUAUAGUUGAAUCACCUUAUGAAUUUUUUCCAACAAAUUGUAGCACUUAUCGGUGUAUACUACAUAGAAAGUCCCAUUGCAUUCUUUUGUUGACUCCUGUUGUACAUACAAUUGAUUAUGUGAAAUAUGUUAAAAGAAUAUUCAACAAAUCUAUAAUAAGUUUAAGUUUAUGUUUAAAAGUGAUAGGAUGAAGUUUCAAAUUCGCAUAUAUCUAAUGUAUAGAGUAAGUAUACAUUAGUUAUGUGCGAAUGAUGAAGUUUUAAAUUCGCACGUACAAUUGUUUUUACCUUAAAAAGUUUAUCUGGGAUAAGACCCAUUCCAUGUGCAAAUGAAACAAUAGCAUUUCCAUCAAAUACAUCAUCAGUAACAGGAUUUCCAAUCAAAUAACCCUGCACAUUGAAAUCAUUUCAAAUUACAGCCACAUAUUUGAAAGUAUAAAAGUGAUCACUUUAAAAACAAAAUACCUUGAAAUUGAAUUUAGGCUUGGUACCAGCUUCAAUUCCUAAAGAACAUCAAGAAAAUGCAUCUUAAUUAUUUUUCUAUCAUAUUCUAAUUGAAAAAAUUUAGAGCAUCAUAAUUAAUUACCUUUCACUAUUAAAUCAGCAAGAGUAGGCACAUAAACUCCAGCAUAAGACUCUCCAGAAAUGAAUAAUGGGUUGGCAAGGAACUCAGGAUAUAAUUCAAACCACUAGUUUGUAAGAAGAAAAAAUAAAUUAAAUGAGUGAGCAAUAAGCUACUCUGGUAUGAGCAAGUCUUACUUAAACAUAAAUACAAAUGAAAAAAAUUAAGUUAAAAAAUCUAGUUUUAUAUUUAACUUUGAAAAUGAGAAAUAAAUAAGGAUUUUUUUUCUUAUAAGACUACAAACUUAAAAAGAAGUGAAGGAAGUAAAAUGAAAAUAUUUUGUCAAAGUCUCCAACAUUUUUCUUACCUUUAGGAGAAAAGUAUAUGUAUCAGAUGCGGUCUUUACAUCUCCAGCAGACUUAUAAUCAGAUAAAUUUUUUGAGUAUGAAAACCCUACUCCAGCAGGAGAGUCCAAAUAUAUAAUGUUGGAAACCUAUAAUGCAAACCACAAGAAGACACAAUCAAGACUUAUGAAACACGAAUACUUCUCAGAGUAGGUGUGUCCAUGUGUCGGACACGACACAUGUCUGAAAUAGACACGACACUGACACAUAUAAUUACACUGAAUUAUGUAAUUUUUUUAAAUUAUUAGUAGUGUCAGAAUGUCAGUGUCCGUGUCGUUUCUGAUGGUCGUGUUUGUAUCCGUGUUUGAAAUAGACAGUCAUUGUUACAUGUGUAAAAUAAUUCAAAUUUAUUUUUCUCCAAAGAUUAAAAAAUCCAAACCUUUGACCAGCUGUAUGGAUUUGGUUUCAACUUAGGCAAGGUUCCCUUGGUCUUAGGUUUUUCAAAAUUAAAAGGACCUGAAACACCACAUCAAUUGGAAUAUUGUUUCAAUAUUAUAUUACAUAUUUAGAUUAUUGAAAUUAAAUGAGACCCUUCAACAAUUUCAAUUGACACAUCUAGUUGAAUAUUUUGCUCACACAUGUUAGGACUUGGGCUUAAAUUAAAAUAAUCUCGCAAUUAAUAGAUUAUACUUAAAUUUCAUUGAAAUUCUUAAUAAGAUUUUUUUUUUAAAUGACAAAAUAAUUACACUUACCAUGCUCAUAUACGAAGCCAUCAAAACUAGAACAUCCUGGACCACCAUUAAGCCAUAGAACCAAAGGGUCCUUGGAUGAAUUACCUUCUGAUUCCACAAAGUAGUAAUACAAGUUUCUUCCAUGAUUUUUAUCAACUGUCACAUACCUUCAAUUUAAAAAAAAAAAAAAAGAAAAAAAAAAGGAUAAUGAACCAUACAUUUUACAAUUACUCCAUUUUUAAUGGGCUAAAACUUUUUACUACUCCAUUCUCGAAUAUAAGAAGAAAAGAAAAUCAAAUAAAGUUGAUGUAACUUAUUAAAAAUAAGAAUUAGAUACAUCUACUUUAUUUAAAUAAAAGGUAUAUACAAUAAACCAAUAAUUUAUUUAGAGAGCUAUUUCUCCCAUCUUCCCAUCCCACACCAUAUCUAAAAUAUAAAUUUCUUUCGGAUACUCUGUUUCGGAUGGACAAAAACACAUUGUUGUUUUCACUUCUAGCACGAUGCAUCCGAAGAAAAUCAAUCAUGUAUUUUGUAUCCGUAUGUAACAGUGUAUCCGAAAGGAAUUGGUUUUUAAGAAGUAAUUGGGAACCUAAUAUUUCAAAAUAGUUGUGGAAAUAGAAUAUAUUACCCGGCAUAGUGCUUGGAAGGUAGAGAUCCAUUGAAGCCUGGAAGGUGGGUUAUAAGAGAUCCUUUAGGUGCUGAAUGUGUCAACACAAAGGUUAGAGAAAUGUGAAGCAACACCAAGUAGAAAUUUGCCAUUUUGCUAUGCUAGUACACAAGUAUAGAAGGGACAAUAUAAGCACAAUUUGGACCUCACUAUUUUAUAUGCAUAGCAAUAAAAUAUUUCUAAAGGAAAAAAAAUAUAUUUCUAAAGAACAUUACAACCUGAAGACUAUUUUAUUGAUGAAAUAUCCAUAGGGAUUGACUAAAAUUAAUUACAAGAUCAUGCAUCACAGGAAAAGUGGAAUUUAAUUUAUUACUGUUACAUAAAAUUUAAAUAAUUCAAACGUUUAAGCACAAAAAUAAUAUAUAAAUAAGUUUCUUUUAAUGUGGUCUAUAUUUUGAGAAUAAAUAAAUCAAAAAAAGAAAGACAUAUUUAUUUAGAAUAAUGCCCGAUAUGUUUUCUUGACUAAAAUAAAUGACCAACAAACAGAUAUACAUGGGUUAAUUUACACCUACCGAAAAACACUAUAUAGUAAAUUAACGUCCAACACUUAUGUAAUUUAUUUUUUUUGAACAAGGCAAAAUGAGAUAUAUUAACAAAAGUUUUGUACCAUAGCACAAGAAGUGCUAAAGGAAACAAAACAAAGUUCCGAUCAAAACAGAAAAGGAAAAUAAAAAGAGCAAAUCAACCAAUCCCCAAACAAGCAAAGGGACGCUGCCACCACAUAUGAUAAUCAAAUAAAAAACACACAUUUUUUUGCUUUCAACCACUGCAUAAAAUUAUUAAGAAGUAAGUUAGCAACCUACUUUCAUCAUUCGAAGCAGAUGACCUUGGGUUGUUGUCUUCCAUUUUUAUUAGUUUCUUUCAAUUUUUUUUUUUUUGAAGGAUUUAGUUUAUUUCAAUUGUGUUUGUUGUUAAUUUUUUAAUUGUUUUUCUUAUACACUAUUACAUUUUAAUUAGUGCAAAAAAACAAAAAGUGAGAAAUUAAUUAAUUUUUUUUUAAUAAUAUUCAACGAUAAACAUUCAUAGUUCAUAGCCAACUUCCUUUCAAAAAUAAAAACAAUUCAUGGCCAAGUUGGUAUGUUAGAAUGAUUCUGGUUAAUAUAUAUAUAUAUAUAUAUAGGGUCAUCCUUGUGAAAUAGCUAGGCUCUCUUUUUAAAAUAGGCCCCUAAUAAAAUAAAACGUAAUUUUUUUGUGUAGCUAAAUUUCAUUAAAAAAAAUCAGAAUUAGAAGAACUUCUAAACAUGAAAGGAAUUAAAAAAAAUUAAGUGAAAGAGGUGAAAUUUAUCAAACGGUGUCGUUUGAAUUUGUCACUUUUCUGUUGUGUAAAAGGGUAAAACGAAUGGUUAAUGCGAAGAAAAAAAAAUAAUUGUUGUGAUUCUUUCAAUGAAAUAGCUUUCCAAAUUGAUUGAUUAAGUGAUUAUACAAAUUAGGGGUGGUUUGAUAGGAUCCGAUUUAUGUACAAAAAGGAAAACUAGAGUCUAGAAAAAACUCAAACAUGUACUAAAGAAAGAAAAGGAUAUAACAUAUAUAUUUUUUAUUUAAGUGGGGGUGGGUAUUAGAUUUAAUUUUUCGUUAGAGGCCCGUAACAUUUGGAGGCCCGGCCUGGUUGAGCAUCUUGCACACGGAAAUUUUACCAUACACCCCUACAUCUAUACUUUCACCCCAACAUUUUACACAAACUUCCUAUUAUACCCUCCUAUAUAAACAUAAGAGCAUCCAAAUUAAUUAUAUUUUUCUCAAUUUUUUCAAGCUUUCCGGUUUGCUACGGAUCUUCUUCCUUUUCUUCCCUAGAAACCCAAUGGUAUUUCAACAUUCAUCAUUCGUUUUUCUUUUCGAUUUCUACUUUUCAUGUAACAAUCUUUUUGAAUCUCUCAUUUUCUGUUUGUUCAUAAUCAUAUUUAUUAUCUAUUAAAUCUAAUUAUUUUCCAAUUCCAAUUCUCAUAAACUCUUAAUUUCUUCUCUUAUUUUCAUUUGAUUUCUCUUUUAAAAUUAUCCAUUCAUAUCAAAACAAAAUCUGCCGGAAUAAUAUUCAGAUUUCAUUAUGAAUAUGGUAAAAUUCAUUCACGCUUUUUUUUUUCAGUUUUUACAAUCCACUCACUCACUCUUCAAUUGAAUUGAUCGGAGGAUUGAAAAAAAAGAGGCUCCCCUUUUUUGCUUGCUAUCAACAGAACAUGUAAUUCUAAUUUGAAAAGUGGAAAACAACUUUUGGGUUUUUCUGUGUCUUUCAUUAAUUGAAAAAGGCAAACAAUGUAACUGCUUAUAAGUUUGUGUUUGGAAACGCUCAAGCUUGGUGUCCAGUUUACCUUUUCGUUCGGAAAAAAUGGUAGGUAGGGGUGAACUGAAGUUGGAAAAUUGGAAAAAGGGCAAAAUUGGAAUUUUUGGUAAAUUGUAGGGGUGAAAGUAUAGAGGUAAGGGUAUAGGGUAAAAUUUCCCUUGCACACCCUCAAGGCCGGACCUAUAUAUAUAUAAGUUUGCUAACUUAGACCAACAAAAUUGAACCGUCAUAAUAUUCUUAAAUGCUUAGAAGCCUUCUAGAAGAGCUUAGACGCCCUCUAGAAGGGCUCAGACGCCCUCCAUAAGGGCUAUUGAGGUCCAGGCGCGUCCUCCUUAGGACGCCGCCUUCCUUAGCUUCCAGAAGCUUAUAGAAACCGCCUAAAAUACAUAAAUACCCUUGUUGCUUGGGAGCCAAGCAACCAAAACCCAAGCCCAUAGCAGGCUAUAUAUACUAAUCUUGAGAUCAUUCUCAAGGCAUCCAAUAAUCAGUCUAAAACUCUGGUAUACAAUUCUUAACCCUAGAAUCCCUUAUUGUACUUUUUGCAAGUACAAAAAUACAUAAAGGUCCAAGUUAGUAAAAGUGCACCUUUUCAUUUGGACAAAAAUAUUCUUCAUCUUUAUUAUUUAAAACUAAUAACUUGAGGAUUACUUUAGUCAAAAUAAAGUGGGUGUAUGUUUGAUUGGAUAUAAAAAAAAAAACAGGCACGCCCACAACAUAUUAGUGUACCAUAACAUCAACAACAAGAACUGUGGAAGUGUGAUGUGAGUGGUAAACCUCUAACACACGUCAAAUGUCUUCGGUCCAUAUAACUUGCUACAUCAAUUUCACUGUGUGUUUAAGUCUAUCAUUCUAAUACUUGUUCAUAGAGCUUGCUACACUAGUUCGAUGCAUCAUAUCCACAAUAUUAACCUAAAAUAAUUAUUUUUCAAUUUUCUUUUAAAAUUUUGAAAUAUGUGAAGAUUGUUGUAAUUUUUGAGUAUAUUUUAAAAGUCUUAAAUAUAUUUUUGAUUCAUAUUUUUAAUUGAUAAAUAAUUUGUCAAAAAAAAAAAUUUGAUAAAUAUGAAAAAAUAUUUUACUAGAAAAUUAUUACUAUUUCACUUGUAGCCACAUUCUAAUACAUUACUGAUUUUUUCAACAAUAACCAAUAUUUGUUAUUCAAUCAGUGCCUAUAUAUAUAAGAAAACAAAUGUUUCCAUUCUGCACGUAUAUGUGCAUGUCGUCUCACUCAAAACACACAUAACAAACACAAAUAUACCAAACACUUUCUAAGGUUUUGAGUUUUUCAUGUUAAAAUCCUUCUUACUGUUCUGUUUAUCCUCGGUUUAUCCGAGAAAGGUAUGUAGAAUUCUUGGGGAUUAGUGUAUACUACGCAAAAAUCGUCAUACUAUCUCACUGUUUGUUCGUUGUGCAGAUCUUCGUAGUUGAUUUGAUAUGGCACGGCAGUAUCAACAUCCAAUUUAAUUCAAGUUGUUCGAAGAAGAUGUCGAGAGAGUUGUGCCGAUGGCCAAAUAGAACAACACUUUAAACAAUGUUGAUGACUAAAAUUUGCAUGUAAUUUUAAACACAAAUCCUCAAGAAUCUAUUGGAAGUUCAACAAUUUGUUGAUUAUAAAAAUGCAAUACUUUAAACUGUGUUGCUUGCCUUUACGAUUGAAUUUAAUUUGAGAGAUAUUUGUGUUAAAACAAGAUCAACUUUGAGCAUGUUAUAUUCUCUUGGGCACAAAUCAAAGGGGUAUUACCUAGGCCCCUUGAGGACCUGGGCCAUCGCACUUCCAGCCUAUGCCCAGGAUCAGCCCUAAGGGGUAGACAAGACCUCGUUUGAAAAGAGAGGAAAAGUCAAAGUAUAAACAAAGCCACCUUUUAAAAUAUUAAAUAGACAAUUUUAUUAAUAUGGUUGAGAGUCAAUGAUGCAAAUAAAUAAUACAUAAAAUUUCUCUUCUUUAUACACAUUUGAACUGUUUAUGAAGCAGUAUAACCCCUCCCUUUCUCUAUUUAUCUGCUUCCUAUAUAGGCAACCCAUUUAUAAAAUGUUGGUAAAAAUGAAAUGCUUCAUGUGGUUUAUAUUCUGGAACAGUAUGUCCAGAUCCCUACAUAAAUAGCAAAUAGUAUCAAGACCAAGCAAAUAUAAAGUAAUUUAUAGAACUAAAUAUUACAUUUUUUUAUAUAUACCUUUACAGUAAGAAAUGUGAAAUUAUUGGCAUAUCCUUGUGUGAACCUGCAAUCAAUAAAGAUAAUUAAGUCAACCUCUUGUCAAUAUUAGUCCUUCUAUACAUUGUUUAAAACAUUUUUAGUGUAUGUUUUCCAAUAGUACUUAUUGCUUAGGACUUGUUUGUAUUGACUUAUUUGAGAUUAUUUACAGACAAUUUGAAAGAGCUUAUGAGAACAGUUUAUGACAUAUUCAUAAGUUACGUUUAACUUCUUUUUUUGUCUAGAAUAACUUAUGAAAACGAUUAUAGUUUAUAUAUAUGAAAAUAAUUUGACUUAAUUUUUUUUAAUUUCUUUUUUGUUGUAUAAAUAGAUUAAAUAUUUGAACAUUCAUGAUGUGGGAUAUGAAAAAGUGGGGAUACCCAGCAAUUUGAUUGUUGAUUAACCAGGGCCUCCAUGGAUCAAUAAUUUUAUAUCCAACUGAUCUUGUCCAUGCUUCUGUUCCAGUAAAUGGGACACACAUAUCAUGAUCACCACUGCCAAAAAAAUAAAGAUUUUUAGGCCUUAUAAAAACCAAAAAGAGGAUAACAUGACAUUUAUAAGUAAGGUAUAGAGCAAACUUUUGAACUAUAAUUGGAUUGAUCUUGAAGUGAAACACCAAUUUAGUCCCAAAAAUCACAUAGGUCAUCAAACAAUUUGAUAUCUAAAGUUAACAAAAUUCAAAAUGAUUUCUAAAAUUAAGAAAUCUUGAAUCACAUUAGUCCUUGAAGAAAUAUUUGAUGACUAAAUUAGUGAUUCACUCAUAUGUCUUUAUUUUGGACGAAUAAAUUUUGGAGAACGUCAGGUAUAGAUACUCCAUCUUUUAUACUGUACACCUGAUUCAAAACUUGAAGUGUGUAUCCCUUAUACACACUUGAAACACAGAUUUCAAGUGCGUAUAAGGGAUAUAUAAAUUUAUUUUAGAAAUUUGUGUUUCAAGUGUGUAUCCCUUAUACGUACUUGAAACACAUAUUUCUAAAAUGGCAAUAAACUACUACUUUUGGCAUAACUAAAUAACAAACUACUACUUUUGGCAUAAUCCAUAUCUCAAACCAAAUAAUUUAUGUCUUUCAAACCAUAGGGUGAUGAAGACUUUUUCAAGAUUGUCGUCCAUCUUAGUAUUACUCUCAUCUAUGUAACUAUGUUCAAGUAAUUGCAAAUUUAUAAUGUCAUCAAGUACAUUUGGCUAUCAUAAAUGUUCAAAAAUACACUAAUGUUUGAAACUUACCUGUAAACUAAAGCUCGAUAUCCUUUGGAAGUUAGUUUUUUGUGGUAUGGAAUCAUGCUCCCACUGUCAUGAACAUAUCUAACUUUCCCCGUGCAUAAAACCCACUCCUUGACCACACUCUCCUGUUUUUUCACAAAGAUUUAGUGUCUUAACUAAUAUCCACAAUAGAUGUGUAAUUUACUUAGAAUCCUCACCUUCACAGUGUGAAUAGCUCUUCGGACCUUACGAUUGUUCAGCCAUAUCACAGAAACCUCGUCGUCCUAAAUAGAGGAAAUGCAACAAUAUCAAUCAUAAUAAUGAGUAAUGUUAAAGUAUGGCUCGUAUAUGCAAGACACUAAAGAAGGCAAGUGGUGGUAGGAUGAGGGUAAUAUUCUAAACUGAACCGUAGUAGUACUAUAUAUAUAUAUAUAUAUAUAUAUAUAUAUAUAUAUAUAUAUAUAUAUAUAUAUAUCGCUUGUAAUACUGAAAUCUUAAUUCAUCACAGUAAACAUCACUUAUGAAAGAAGAUGCAUGAAUAAGUAAUUCAAGUAGUUAAAUCUAACAAUUGAAGUUAGUAUAAAACAUUUUUAAUGUGAACAAGUAGUUAAAUCAAGUAAUCAUAGGAAAUGACAUAUUACAUAGUAAGAAAGUGAAGUGCCAACGUAACUUACAAUGCAAGGAACGUGAAUAUUGUUGCUUGUAAGAAGUAAAUUAUUAAGUAGUAAAGUAACUUACAACGCAAGGAGGAGCACCACCACUAUUGCUUUCAAGUUCUGGCCAAGAUGGCACAUAUCCAUCUUUCACAAUAGCUCUAUAGGGCCAAGCACGUCCAAACAUUCUUUUCCUCACAGGCAUAGGUCUAUCAGUCUUGCCCAAUUGUCUAAAGCUUAAUGGCAACUUAGAAUAUGAUUCAUUAUUCUCCUCUUUCUCUCCAUGAUAACAUGGUUCUAGAAUGUCAUACAUGUUUAAUUUGUCUAGUAUCUAAGAUUAAAAAAAAUAUAUUAUAAUUAGUACCACAAAAAUCUCAAGGUUUUUAUGUUAUUAAAUAGUCAUUUUGGUGAUUAAAUAUGUGAGAUACUGUCAAAAUAGUCACAACGUGUAUUAAACUACAAAAAUAUACAUAAAUACGUCUUUCAUUAGUAAGUUUGUCUCUGAAGGUGUCUAUAUUGUGUCUUUUGUUAACCAAUUUAGUUCUUAAAAUUUCUACAAGAGAUCCUCAGUUAGGAUGAUUCUAUAGUUUCAAAACAUUCAAGAAACAUAGUGACAACGUUUAACACACUUAGAAACCCAAAUAACUAUUUAUUUACUCAUUUUUAUAUCUUAAUAAAUGUAGUGUAUUAAAUCACCUCUCCAAUAUUCAUCAACACUUGAGUGCAACCAUUGCUGCCUAGUUCAUAGAAUUUUCCCCUACAUUCUUUUGUUACAUUCUGCAGCACAAACAAUUACGGAUUAUAUAAAAUAGACACAUGAUAAAAAUGCAAAAAAUAAUAAGAAAACAAAGAAGAAGAAAGAUUCAAAAUAAUAAUAAGAAGAAGAAAAAGAAAUUACUCCCUUCGUUAUAAAGUGUCGUUUUUUUUUUUUUAAUAUUUUUGUUCUUUUUUAAUUGUCAUUUUCAAAGUUCAAAAUAUAUUAAAUAUUGUUUUCUCAAAAUUACCCCUAACCACCUAUCGCAAAGAAAGAAUAGUGAAAUGCGAUAAUGAAUAGUUAGGGUUAUUAUAAAUAAAAGACAUUUUUUUAAAAGUAAUCAUUGAACAUUAUAAAUAUUUUUUUUUUGGUACGAACUAAAUUUUUUAUUUUUACCUCAAAUAUUUCAUCGGAGAUAAGACCCAUCCCGUGUACAAAAGGAAUAAUAGCAUUGCCAUCAAAUUUAUGAUCAGUUACUGGAUUUCCAACCAUGUAACCCUGCACAUUGAAAUGAGUUUAGAUUUUUGCCACUGACUUGAAAAAAUAAUGUGAAUUACUUAAUGACAAAAUACCUUGAAAUUCAGUUUGGGCUUGAUACCAGCUUCAAUUCCUAAAGAACAUCAAGCAAAUGAAUCUUAUAUUAUUAUUAUUAUUGUUAUUAUUCUAACACAUUUUUUUAACACAUUUAAUUCAACAUUUUCAGGAGAUAUUUAUUUAUUAGUACCUUCUACUAUUUUAUCAGCAAGAGUAGGUACAUAAAUUCCAGCAUAAGAUUCUCCAGCAAUGAAUAAUGGGUUGGCAAGAAACUCAGGGUAUAAUUUAAACCACUAGUUUGUUCAAAAAUAAGGUAGAUAUGUUAGCAAUAGCAAUAUGGUAAGAAUAAUAAUUAAGGACUAGGUUGAUGCAAAUAUUUUAUGUCCAUUGUUUAUAAAAAAUUAUGAAUUUUACAUUCAAUAAUUUAGAGAUUAUUUUUAAGAGAUUUUAGUAGAAAACAAGUAACUUCUCUUAAAAAAAAGUUAUUUUAUAUUUGCUUAUUAUUGCAAAAAUCCCUUUUUUAAAAAUAAGAAAAUCAUAUAAUCAAAGCUAAAAUAUGGUUUUAGUCCCCGCAAAUAUGUCUCGUUUUGGUUUUAGUUCCUAUAAAAAAAAAA
rnacentral:lncRNA from 1 species